UUUCUUUUUUUUUUUUUUUUGGGCUGCGAAGCUUGUUGACAGCUUGAGUUGCAAAAACGUGGGCUCGAAUCGGAUGCUGAGUAAGAGCCUAGAACUUGUAACACUAAUUUGUACUCUUGUAGACAUGUGACGUUCUUGAUUGAUCCUAUGAUUUGAUAGUUUUAAUGAAUUUAUUUCUAAAAAAAUUAUGUCAUAAACUAUUCUAAAUUGUGUCAAUUCUUUUGUAUUAAAUUGUGAGCCAAAAUACUGUGAUACCAUUGGACGUAGGCAAAAGAAAAUUCCUCCCAUAUAAUUUUAUUAUAUUCUUAGACUUAAUGUCUAUUUAACUUUAUUAAAAACAAAACCAUUUUUAAAUUAAGGGUGAUACAUUAAUCUUCAAUUUAGGUGGAUGUUUCCGGAAACAUGUUGAUUGAACUCAAUUCUCUUCUUCUUCUUUCUCUCUAUGAAUAAUAAAAUAAAGCAUAUCGGAUAUAACUUUUAACAUUAGAUCACAAAUAGAAAUGUAAAGAUUGAACCAACAAAAACAAUGUGUAUGCGCAAUCAAAUUGAAAACAAAUAAAUGAAAUUGUAAUAAUUAAUUUUUAAAGAAUAAAAAAAUGGAAAAAGGGUAGAGAAAAUGGACAAGUGGAAGAUAUUGGUAUCAACCGAAAAGGUUUGGAUGGAAUGAGAUAUAGGAUAGGGGAGUAUGUAGUACCCACUUAAAUAGUGUCCAAAAAUCUCCUCUCUAGAGAUGACCAACUCUCAAACUUGUCCAAACAAAUGGAUAUAUUAUAUCACAUGAAAAAACUAAUUCCACCGCUAAAAGAAUAUAUAAAUUAAAAAGAAAAAAACAGGUUCGAUAACUAUUUAUUUAUGAAAAAAAAACCGAAUGAAUCGAAAGCAAUUAGUUGAAGAUAAAGGGAAACCGACCGAUUGACUAACUAGUAACGGGUUGGUUUAUACUCCAUAAUCGAAGUUAAUUUGGUUGUAAAACGAAUUACGACCGACCAAUGCUCACCCACACUCAAUAGAUUUUUUCCACUGCUUCAUCUACAUUUUCAACCCUACUUACCAUUUGAUAAAAUAAUGUUAAUACCAAAAGAGGCAUGCUAAGCAAAAUUUCUUGCGAUUAUAAAACUCUACACAAGAAAAGAAAAGCUUCUCCAAUUUGAACAAUAUACCAUCUUAUAUACUAAACAAUAUAUGAGAUGAGAUGUAUAUUUACUAUUUUCUAUUAGUAUAUCUGUAAAAACACCAAAAAGAGAGAGAGAGAGAGUCUAUUAAAAGAUAAUUAAAAUGUACCAAAAAUGUUAGCUGAAAACUAGUUAUGAAAUCUCUCUUUCAUUAAAAUACUCAACACAUUAACUCAUUUGCAAUCAAACAGAUACUAACCUAACCACAUAUCAUCACACAGAGUACACAAUAAGAUGCCAACCAAAGACAUCCAAAAUUCUCACCAAAUACACACAACCAAACUGGAAAUCAAAUGACUGACCAAAGUAUAGGUAUAUAACCGAGACAUUGUAACAUGCAUACACUAUUUCGAGAUCAUAUAUUAUCCUAAUAAUUAAGUUUGUUAUCAAUCUCAGUAAGAGUAACAAUCUGAAUGAAAUAAAUAUAUAAAUAUCCCCUACGAGAUGAGAGAAACUAGCUUAUGUCAUCAAAAUUCAGUUCCACUAGGCCAGAUGGAGGAUAAUUAAUAUGGGGAAAAAAAUCUAAAAAACCAAGUGAAUUCAGAAGCUAUGGUAACUUCACCUGUUCUACUUGGAAAGUGCCUAAGGAUGGAUUAAUUAGGAGCUAAAGUAACUUCAUCUGUUCUACUUGUUGCUGAUGGUUUCCAUAGACAGUAUAAGCUCCAUAAGCUGCGUGAUACAUACUUGGAUCGUGAGGAGAUGCCAACCCAUAUCCAUAUCCAUCAUAUAUGUGCCCUCCGUAGUAAGCUCCAUUCCAUUGGUUCCCAAAAUCUCUGAACUGUUAAACCUCAACAAAUGCAAGAAAAAAUACUGUUAAGUUUGAUUUAACUAACAAUCAAACGAGUCUGAUGAUAAGAAUUCAGAAGCAAUGGUAUUUCUCGACUACGGGUUUCCGAAUACAGUUCUGUAACUGUGACAGAGUUCAGACAGAAAGAACACAAGCUACCACGAGUUUUUAGUUAGGCAAACACUUCUUUUUUUAAGGAAAAAAUAUUAAACAUGGAACUUCAUCAACCAUAGUAAAAUUCGGACUUUAUAUGCAUAGUUCUUUUGUUAUCAUUUACAAAUUAGCAGAGAAGGGUAAUUUGCCUGCUUAUUUGCUGGAUUUCGACCCCAAGAAAGACGAACAGUUUGCUUGCCAAUUACAGUUCCAUUUAGUUUCUGCAAAGCCUCUUCAGCAUCAUUUCUGAAAAGGAAAAUUGAGAAGAAUAUGCAACAGAAAUUAGAACUUAUUUGUUAACAAUACUAAUAACCAGAUGGAUAUACUAUUUCAUUGUUUAUAUGAUAGGAAAACCUGAUUACAAACUUUUUACCUGUUGGCAAAUUGGACAAAUCCACAUCCUUUACCAACUGGUAUUUUAACAGAUACAAUCUCACCGUACUGUGAGAAAGGUUGCCUCAGGUCUUCAUCAGUGACAUUAGGAUCAAGCCCUCCAACAAAUAUCUAAAAGAAAAGCUCAGGUUAACCCAAGAAUAGAAGGUGAAUUAUCUAGCUAUGCAAACAAGAAUAACGAAAGCAACUCACAGUUGUAUUUGCAGAAUCUCCUUCAGAUUGGAGACCUUGGCUGAAGUAACCAUUUGUUGAAUAUCCUCCUAUCAAAACCAAAGGACAGCAUAUAUAUAUGCAGUUCACAAAGCAUGAGUAAACCCUAAGAAAUUAGGUAUUCAAAGAUAUAAAUCCUUAAAAUUGUUUCAUUUGGAUUGAAACGAGAAGAGAAAAGGAAGUCGUACCCAAACUAACAAUGAUUUCAAAAAGAUCAUUUUCUUUGAAGAUGCUUUUUCAUAACUAUUUUUGCUCUAGGAGAAUUUAGAUUACUCUAUUAAUGUUGUCUCCUACCAUACAAAUGGCUUCAAUUCAAAACUUGCUAACACAAAUUUACCCUGGAUGGCCUAUCUUAUUAAUAAAAAUGGCAGUCAGAAAAGAAAACCACUUAAAUAAAUAUGUUGCAUUAUUGGAUGCCUGAAAAAUGAAAAGUAUAACAAAUAGAUAAUAUCUUCAGCCUGAAUUACACGCACAGGAAGUAAACUGACUUGCAACCCUUGUUUGACCAUAAGUCAAUAUAAUAGAAAGUUAGGUCUUUUGUUAUCUAACAUUAUGUUUUGACACACAAACAUUAACCUCAACAAAAUUUCUUAAGUAAAACGAAAUCAAACUGCACACCCUCUUUGUUAGUAUUAUAGUUCUUAUUUUCAUAACCUUUUUUGAUACAUGACCUGAAGUCUUAAACCAAUUGUCCUGCGGAGAAAAGAAACCUUUCAUAUUUUUAUUUAUCCCAGAACUGCACACCCUCCCCAAAAAAUAAUCCGAUUCCUAAUCCUUCUUGGAAGUGGUUUUAGGCUAAGCACACUAAACCAUAAAAUUUAAACAUACCUCCUUGUGAAGAAUGCUGCUGCUGAUAUCCAGAAGACUUUCUGGGUGUUGCAGCACCGAUGCGCAUGGGUCUGCUUGAACAAUAUAUACCAUUCAUUUCAGUCAUGGCCUGAGACCUUUCAUUGUCAUCUCCAAACCGCACAAAACCAUAACCCUUUGAACGACCAGUGUUGGCAUCAAUUACAACUUUUGCUGCUUUAACAGAAGGAAAUUUACUAGAAAAUGUUUCGUACAACAAAGAAUCGGUAACAUCUGCAGCUAAGUCUCCAACGAAAAUAGAAAGAUCGGGAUCAUUAUCUGAUCGCUUGUCACCAGUACUAAAUGUCGCCCAAUUCAGGCGGAAAGUCUGCUCUGUACUUGGCAUGAACAUUCCCGAAUAGUUCUGAAGAACUUUCUCAGCAGUUGUAUGAGAUAAAAAUUCUACAAAUCCAUACCCUUCAGACAAACCCGUUUGCUUGUUACGAAUGACUUUCAUAGACGAAAUCUGCAUCAUACAGAAAAUAGAACAAUCAAUGUUCAACGUGAUCAUGUCAACCAAAGAACAAUUCAAAAAUGUUCAACAAGAAAAAAGAUUGUCACAGAACACCACGGGAUGUAAAAUGUCAAUUACUAGAGAAUGUAUUCUUUCAUUUACUAACAACAUAACCUACUAUAGUAUUUCUUCAUAUACAUUUCACAAUAUUUCUCAAUAGGCUGUGAAUUUGAGAGGUUAGGAGAUACAGUCAUUCUAAACAUCUAAAAGUCUUAAAACAAACAGCCAAUUCUCUCAUUCAGAAUUGUUUAAUUCCAAAAACAUUUUUACAAAAUACAGUGCUACACUUUUAAGCAGAUUCUUCUCUAGCUUACUAAUAUAAGAAAAAAACGUAAUCAAAUCUGCAACAGUCAACUCCAGUAAAUGUUCACUGCCUAAGAGUAGCAAAAACUGUUUUUUAAUUUUCAAAAACAAAAUCAAAUAUUUGAUCAAAUUUAUAAUUGUCAUGUAGUUCUGCUCUUCCGUGUUGAAAUUGUACAACGACAAUCAAGUACGGAAACCACCAAAAAAACAAAAAUCACCAAAAUAAGAAACUAAGGAAACAUUCAAUAUUUAUACCCUUACUAUAACGAAGAGAAUGUAUCACUUUCUAAAGACCGAUUUAAUUGAGAACUUCAACGACGAAAAUUCCAGCAAGUCACCAAACAACCCAUCAUCGAUUCAUCGUAACAACUUAUUAGAUUAGUAAUGUACAUAGAGCGAAUGUUACACAUUAAUCACCAAACUAAAAAAAAAAAAACGCGUAAAAAAAACAGAGAGAUAAUUGGAAAAGAAGAUAGAAAGCAAACCUCGCCGACAGAAGAGAAGCAGGAAUGGAGGUAACUCUCGUCCAUCCAAUGAUGCAAGUCACCGACCCAAAUCGUCUUAUUUUCACUACCAGAUCCCUUCAGCGGUUGCGAAGGUUGAAUAGGGAGAUGAUGGUGGUGAUAUUGAUGAUGAUAAUGCAUAUACGGCGGCGGUAACGGCGGCGCCAUAUAAUGCUGUGGCGUCAUCAUAUGAUGCGGCAUUACCAUGGGCGGCGGCGGGUACUGCAUUGGCGGUAUCCAUGGGUGCGGCUGUUGUUGAUGCCGUUGAUUUGGUUCCUGUGGCUGCGAAUCAGAACCGUUGUUUUGCAUCUUAUCUUCCUUCCUUCCUCCGUAUUAAAGUGGAAGAAAAACAAUGAAGCAGAAUUUAAUGUAAAAAUCAAAACCCAAAAUGGGAAAAGGAAUCAGAGAAAAAGAGAAAGAAUCAGAGAGUUAGAAAGUGAAAGUGAAAGUGAAAGUGAAAGAGGGAGUGGAUUAGGGUGUAAGUUUGAAGGAUUUAUUGGAAGAUUGGAAAGAAAGAGAUAGAAACCGGAAGUUUUUUGUUUAUGGGGGAAUGCGGUGGGCUAUACACACCCUUGGAUUAAGGGAGAGAAUUGAAUCUGGAUUGUUGAUUUUAGAAUGGUGUCCGGAGCAAUGGCUUGAUCCGCCGCCAAUUACCCUUUUUCUUCUCUAACCCCCAAGUUGAUAUGAUGUCAGCAUCUUACUAUUUCCUUAUAUACUUCUCUUAAUAAUAAUCACUCUUAAUUACUUUUUCUUUUCAUUCUUCCCUUUUCUUAAAAUAGGAAAUUUUACAAAAAAAAAACCUUUUUAUUUCUUCUUCCUUCAAAUUAGGAAUGCUUAUUUCUUCAUUAACAUUUUUGUACUUUUAUUUAUUUCCUCUUUUAACCCAAAUUACCUCAUCAAUUUUUUCUUCUUUUAUAUUUUCUUCAGUGAUUUAUUUAUACAUAUAUAUAUAUAUAUUAGGAAUUUUGUUUUAACAUACCCAAAAUCCUUCAAAAACUUAUAAAUAUACCCAAAUUUUAGUUUUACCUAGUAGACUUGAAGAGUAAUUAUCCAUCAGCGUGAGUCGGUUUUCGAUCAAACUACUAUCUAAUUUACUUUCUCGGUUUUUUCAAAUUAUCCUUGACUAUAAAGAAAUACAAACCAACCGUUACUUGGUUUGGAUUGGCUUGAGCCGACUUAGACCUUUGGAAUCUUUGAAAGAUGUCGAUUUGGAUUUUUUUUUCAAACCAACUCUGGUUCAAUCCAUCCUUGUUUUCAAUGGAUCUAUUAUAUUUACACUUGAUGGCUCAUCAUAAUCUAUCGUAAAUAAAAAGUAAAAUUUUAUUACGAGUUUGUUUGCUGUAUUUGAAAACUCUUAUUUAUUUAGAUGGGCCAUUGUUUUCUUUGGAUCAAAUUCAGUGUCUUUGGGCCCAAGUAGUUUUGGAUCAAAUUGAGGAAUGUCCAGUUGUCCACCAUACUCCAUUUUCUAAAUAAAUUAUUAGAUUGAUUUAUCUUACUUUUUGUUUGGUAUGUAAUUAUAGGGAAAAUUACACUUAAUUAUAUUCUUAAAUUUUCAAAAAUAAUAAUUAAAUAUUUAAGUUUAUAAAACUUUGAUAUUCAAUUUUUAUCAUCCGUAAGUCUAAUAUAUAAUUAUUAUAAGAUUUUUAGAUUUUUCUACUCAAAUAUUCCAACUACUUUUUUCAAUAUAUUUUAUAUUUGGUACACGAACUAUCUUGAACAAUCAAAUAACAGUUUGAAUUUUUUUAAAAAAAAUAUUUUUUUUUCAUAUUUAAUACAUGAUUUUGACCAAAUAACCAUUUUUUAAAAAAUAAAAGGAAAAUUAGAAAAGAAUAGGAGAAUAAGGGGAUGUAAAAGAAAAUAAAAACUAAAAGAAUGGACAAACAUACAAUAUUUAAAAAUAACUUUUUGAAGUUAAUUAAAUUGCAUUAAGUUAACUAUAUUUAAGUUGCAGUAAACUUGUUUUUUUUUUUAAGUGUCGAUAGAUAAAUCCAACCAUUCAAUUCAUUUGUAGUUAAAUAACUGCCUAUGAUCUAAAUCUAAGGUAUUUAAGAAGUUAAUUACAACCUAAUGUAGUGAUAUUGAUAGUGACUGAUAAUUAGUAUUUUAAGGCCUAUACAUUGAGAAAGCAUAAAGAAUCCUUAUUAAUUUUAUUUAAAUAUGUUUUGUGCUUUACAAAAAUACAAUAAGUUUUAGAAAUAUAAAUUUAUGAUUUUAAACAUGUUUUUCAUAAGAUGAAAUGAAAGAUAUAUUAUAUGUCAUGUAUCCUUAUUCAAUUUUAAGUAGUAUUCAUGCUAUUUUCCUUUGAUCAUCUAUCAUUUUCAAUUCGUGGUUUAAUUCGACAACACCGAUUUAUUUCUUUUAUUUGAAUUUAUAUUGUUAAAUGAAAUAUUAGUUAAUGACUAUGGAAAGAGUUGCUAAAUUAAGUAAACUUAAAUUAAUUAGUCGUAUUAACACGACAUCUAUCCUAAAAACAGUCGAAAGUUCAUUCUCAUCUCGUCAUGAAAAAAGUUGAGAAAGUACAUAUAGAAAAAUAAAAAAUCCAAACUCCCAUAACUAAUUAUACAUUAUAAAUAGAUUUGAAGUACAUAUCCAUAACAAUAAAACAUGCAUUAUGAACAUAAUAAAAUAUAAAUACAUAACUAAACUAAGUUACUAACUAUAUAUCAUGAUUAAUAACUUGUAUAAUAAGUGAUUUAUAAAAUAUGAUCUAAUCUUAAUGUAUUUUAGAAUCCAUGUGGCUGGUUGGUGCAACAGAGUGACCGGCCCCAGGGCUAUGGCCCGGGGUGGUUGGACGAAAGUCGCCGCCUAGCACCUCCGCGUUGCUAGUAGUAAAGAAAGUGUCACGAUCAAAUGCUAGUGGUUCCGACUUAAGAGGAGCAACGGCAACCGUUUCUUCAAUUUUUGGAUGGAGAUCUUUGGAAAUUUCGACGCGAUCGAGAUUCUUCGUCGGUGGCAUUCUUGCUUGAGUGUGUGAUACAUGGAAGGUAGAAGAUAAAAUGAGGAUGGCAACGAAGGUAGAGAUGAGCUUAAUUGAUGGAGUACUCAUUUUAGUUGUUUGAGAAAUGGAGAGAAAUCUUAGGUUAUAACUCAAAUGAGAGAGAAGAGAAAAGGUGUUGGGAUGAUUCCAAGCUUUGAACAAAUAGAAGUAUUUAUAGAUAUUUUUUUGGUUCAAGGAAGAUACUCAUGUGCUUUUGUGUUAGUGCUCAUUAUUGUUGGAAUUUCUUUUUUCUUUUUCUCAUCUAAUCCCUCAUUUUAAAUAAAUAUAUAUUAUUUUAUUUGGUUAACCCUUAUUUUUUUUAUGUAAUAAGGUCCAUAUAUAUAUCGUUAUGAAAAAGUACUCUCGAUGCAUACAACUGUUAAAAAAUAGCACAAAAACGCAUUGGAAGAUCCUCUCUUGACGCCAUUGGCACCGUCAGAAGUAUAGUAAAAAAAUUCCCGUUAGAAGAUAAACUCCUUACGUCGAUCGUCAUCUUGUCGAAAGAGAGAUUUUAAAAUCGAUUAUAUUCAUUGGCACUAAAGAAACUCUAGACGUUGUCCCUUCAUCAUUAGAACUAACCACUGUUAUACGAAAUCAGAAAGAUGAACUUUGAUUCCUUUUUUCCUAUAGUGUUAAUGACUAUCCAUAAAUUUUGAGGGGGAAAAAACCGUCGUGUUAAUUUUAACUCAUUCACUAACUGUUGUGAUCUCAUACUAACAUAAAUAUUUAACUCAAACAAAAUACAUGGGUGCCCUCAAAUUACCCUUAUCUUUGUGCAUCACCUCAAUAUUCAAUCACAAGGAAUUGUGUGGUAAAUUACUUUUUUUUCAUAUAUACAUUUUAUUUUUUACGAUUGAAAAAAAUGUACGUAAAUGAGUGUGGUAUAGAUUGCAGUUAGGUAUCACCUUUUUAAGAUAUAUGUGUAUUUAAAGAUAAAUUAUUUUUUUGAUUACAUCUAAAUACAAUGUGUAUAUAUAUACUUUCAUUGAAAUCAUUACAAAUUUACUUAUUUUAAAGCCAAAUGUACUUGUUCUAAUUUUUUAAAUUCCUGUACUGAUCUUUUUUUUUAUACAAAUUCUAAUUUUUGUUUUAGAAUUUAUUUGAUAAAGAUUUUUUCUUCUAAUUUUUUUCUUUAAUUGAUAAAUAUUAACUUUUUAAAGUUGGGUAAAAAUUCAUAUUCCAAAAACCUCCUUUAAUUUUGACUUCUAUCAAUUUUUUAACAAUCAAUAAUAAAUAAGUUAGUUCCCCCCAAAAGAGGGUUAUAGAAUAAUAAGGUCUAAGACCACCCAAUUAAGGAUUUUGAAUAAAAAAAUGACUUUGACUUCAAUCAGUAUCAUGUCUACUAAAUAUAUAUAUACAUAUAAGAUUAGCAAAGCUAGACUCUAAGGCAUAAUUUUGGUAACGAUUUCUGCCUCACUUGAUUACUACUAUGGCUUUUUUAAGAUUAAGCUUAUUUAAUUUCUCUAAACUUCAUUUUGAAUUCUUGAUAGAUUUAUAAACAUAAAAACAAAGUUUUGAAAAACUAUUUUUUUUUAUUUUUCUUGGCUUAAAUUUUGAACACAUAUAUAUAACAUCAACAAGAGGAGUACUUAUCAAUUUAGUUUUUAAUAACUAAAACCCAUAAACCGUUUAGGUUUGUUUUCUCCCCCUUGCUCAAUUAUAAUUUUAACCAUUGUUAAAAGAAAUACUUUAAUCUUCAAUUAAAUUAUCAAAUUUAAAAAAAAAAUGCUUGUUUUAGUUCUCAAAACUCCAUUUAUUUUUUUAAAUAUAUAUAUAUAUAUAUAUAUAUAUAUAUAUAUAUAUAUAUAUAUAUAUAUAAUGAAAAUAGAUAGUAAAAAGUGUAUAAAAAAAUAAUGAAUAGAAUGUAGUGUUCAUACACUUUUGAUUUUGGAAAACCAAAUAAUUAUCAAGUGAAAAAAAAAAUACAUCAUGGAAUUUUAAUUUGGAAAGGUAAAAGAAAACAUGUUUAUUUAUUAUUUUUUUUUUUUGUAAUUAAGAAAAGGUAAAUUGGAAUUGGGAAUUGGGAAUUGGGUAGGAGAAAAGGAAAGAAAAACUGUAGAUUUGAAAGAGGAGAAUGAUUAUGUGCCCCAAGAUUCUCCUAGAGCAAGAAAGUGUGAAGAGAGAGAGAGAAAUAUAGUCUUUUGGUAUCUUUUCAAAGGGCAAAAUAUUGUUGUUGCUCCAUUAGCAAAUUUGCAUGUCCCAUGCAAAAAAAGGAAGUUCCAUUUUAGAAUGACUCAUUUCCAAAGGGAAUAUGUAAAUUGCAUCCAAAUAGAAUCAGUUGCUAUUUUGGAAUAAAGAAACCAACCCAAAGUGCCAAACCCACUUACUAAAACUCUCUACUACCAAACCCAAUUUUGACUAAAAACUUUACCAUCUCUACCUCCAUUAUGCUUUACUUUCACGUGCUUCCCUUUCCUCCUUAUUUGUCAAUUUAAACAUAGUUCAAUUGACUAUAACAAUUUUAAUAAUUUAUUAUUGUUGUAUGAUGUACCUUCAAUACGUGUAAAUCUUCAUACACGUAUUAAAACAAAGCAAAUAAAUGGGAACACACAAAUUAAAGUGAAAAAACAAAAAUCACGAGCUAAAGAAAUUUACCAAAUGAAAAAUUAUUACAAAUCACACAGAAAUCCAUCUUAAAGGCAAACAAUGGAGCUUGUUAACUAUUUCAUGCUUCAAAUUAGAGUACUAAAAACCAAAGAUUAAGAUCCUUUUAUAGCACUUGAACACCAUCACUACAUUGAGUGGUUUCAAAGGUAAUAAGUAUCUUGACAAUAAUAAGUAUCUUGACAAUGUUGGAUUGUUGUGCGUAAGGAUGACUAAAGGCAUCACACUGCUUUUAAUCAUCUCAAGCUUGAGACACAGUAAAACUCUAUUGAACAAAUAAUCAUCUUGCUCUUUUAUGUUCGAACAUAUAAUUUAUGGUUACGACAGAAACAUGUUAUCCUAGCUAUGAUUACAAAGCUAUACCAAGAGGUCCGUCUUCUUUGACCAAGAAAUUAGAGGGCGGCGUUAUGUUAAGACGAAGAUAAUACAAAUGUAAUACUUCAUCAAAUAGAAAAUAGAAAAAGAUACCAAUAGAAUGAUUAAGAUUCUUUUGAUAUUCCAAAAGGCAAUUGAUAAUGGUAGAGAAUCAAAUGGGUUGAGAUUCGUUGGGGAUCUUAUUAGAUUGAGAACUAGUGUGUUGAAAAAGCAAAGCACUUCAAACGGCAAAUGCUUCUCCUAAAUCCAACAGUGACAAAUAUUUUGCCUUGUUUACCCAAACCAACGGCUGUUUGUUUUCUCUUGCUUUUCUUCCUCACCUUUGUCUUUUUAUCUGUAUUUGGAUCUUAUUUAGCACAACAAUUCGAGUUGCUCUCCAAUGUCCUCAAAUAACCAUACCACCAAAUUAUACAUACAACUUCCAUCCUAAGAAUUGAAAAAUAACUAUUGAUCAAAAUUGCCAAUAAGAGUCUAGCUCCAUUGACUCCUUCAUGUACUUAAAGGACCAACAAGUUUCGGGUUCAAAUCCCUCGCUCCCAAUUUUUACAAAAAAAAAAAAAAAACAAUAGUAAUAGAUCAAAAUUCUGUCAAUAGAACUCUAUUAGAAACAAUAACUUUUUUUUGUUAUUUAGUUUUUCCCAAAAAACUAGAUUAGUUUCAAAACAUAAUUUUAUUUAAAAAAAGUGAACAUAUGUUAUUAAAAAAGAUUAUCACUAGAAAAAGGAAAUAUAAAGUGCAUAAUCCUAUUCAAGAAAACUUUAGUAUGCUUCUAAACUACUAUAUUUUCCUGAUAUGUUUUGAAGUGCAUAAUCCUAUUCAAGAAAGCUUUAAUUAAAAUUGGACAAGUUCCUAAAGUUUGGAAAUGCCUUUUAAUGGCCUUUCAAGUCAAUUUAUCACUAAUGGUUCAAUUGAAGGAUUUGUUUUUUAAAUUAUUUAUUUGAGAAGGUUCCAUGGAAGAAUAUAAUAUAACAAGUAACAAGUUAUCAUUAGUGCCUCAAAUUAUUUCUACUCCAUCAAAAUUCUUGGUAACCCUAAAAAAAACCUGUUUGGAUGGAUUUUCUAAGUACUUAGAAAUACUUGUACUUUUUAAGCACUUAGAAAACCAGUUUAAAUAGAGACCAAAUAAUUUUUAAGGGUUUUGAGGCUUUUAAACAGUAGAGGUGUAAUGAAGCUUUUAAAGUUGAUUUUAUCAUUUGAUAAAGGUUGCACCUAAACUAUACAUAAAAGAAAAGGAAAGUGUUGGGCUUUUUAAUUCAGUAUACUAACCUUAGCAUGUGGCCGAACGAAUUAGAAAACCUGUGCAAGAUGAACAACCAAUGGAGAACUAUCACAAGGAUAAUUCACUCUUUCACAGCCUAAAUUCUCCUUAAUCAGAUGUCAAAGAUUGAAAAAGAUAAACAGGGGGAAAAUAGCGUUCCCCGCAGAUAAAGUAGAUUCACUCUGCAGUUGAAAUGACGAGAAUCCAAAAUUCAAAUGAGGUAACAGUUACUAAAACCACAUCUUUCUAAUUAUUAAAUUAAUCAAACGGGAAAACAAACUUUUUUUCUUUUGUUGAAGUAAACUGAACUAAAACUUAUGUUCAAAUAGCACAAUGAUUUAACACCGAUAAUGGUGGUAUUAAUAUAAUAUAAUUUUUAAAAAUAUCCGUUACAAGUAAGGGAAAUGCAAAUGCAGGAGUAGAUUCAUUACAAAAACAAGCUCAACACCGUUAACGGUGGUAUGGUUUUAAUAUAUAAUAAUAUCUCAAGAAAUGAUUUAUAUAUAAAUUAUGUGGGAUUAUGUAAUCAUCCAAACUUAAUUAGACAAUAAUAAGCAAUGAUAAGCGUUUAAUAUCGGUUGAAUUAUCAUCAAACUCAAGAACUUAAGCUCAAACAUCCUCAUAAAUUCAUAUUUUAAAGUAUAAAAACUUUCAAACACUCAUCCUUAUGUUGAAUUCAAUAUUAAUUGAUAUUAAUCGAGUGUGCUCAUAUCAUUAACAUGGGACCAAACAUAGAUUACUCUAUAAAGUAGAGAAAAAAAAAUCAUCACAAGAAUUUGAGUAAAUAAAAGUAAACCUAACAAGAUAUUAGUUAAACUAUAAAUAUAUACUUGUAUAAUAUUUAUGUCUAUUUGGUAAGCAAAUUUUAAAAAGUUUCAAGUUAAGCUCCGACCAUUUAGAUUUUGAAAACUAAUUUUAUUUCCUCGUAAUUUCUUACCAUGAUUUUUAUCUUUCUUAAGUUAAAGAGUAUAGUUCUUGGUCAAAUUUUAGAAACGAAAAUGGCUUAUUUAAUUUUCAAGACUCGGUUUGGUUUUUUUAACAUCGGUAGAAAGUAGAUACUAGAUACAAAAGCAAGAAUUUAGAAGUAGAAGUACAGCUUAAUUUUCAAAAACUAAAUAUCAAAUAGUUAUCAAACAUGCCUUGAAUUUUAGAUUGUACUUCUAUUCAAAUCCUAUCAUUGAUGUCGAGAAUCCUGAUAUAACAUGCCCAAUGAAUCAUGCUUGACCAUGAGAUAAAGCAAAGAGUGUUAUAAAGCAUAUGCUCAACCUUGUUGUUGGCUCUUAUUUGGUUUAUUCAAUAUUAGCUAGUCUUUUUUUUUUUUAAAUCUGUGAGCGCUCGGACUCACUUACACAGACUUUGAUUAAUCUCACGGGACAACCCGUUUGAUCCUAUAACAUUCAUGUAUAAGAAAACUUUGACCCUAUAAUGUUCAAGUAUAAAGAAAACUUGUAAAAAAUUAAUUAUUAGAUAGGUAACCACCAUGAAUUAAACUCGGGACCUCUUAGUUAGUUAUUGAAACUAUGUCUCAUUUUUUUACCAGUAGGCCAAUCCAUAGUGGUUUAUUAGUUGGGUUUUCUGAAAGUCAGGGAUAGUUUUCGUCAUCUUCUGUGCGGCAGUAAAGGAAACUUGCUUUGGUUGGAAAGAAAUUAUCACAUUUUUUAAAAAAAAAUCCACAUCUCUGUCGCUAAGUUUGAUUCGGCUUGUUUAAAGGCUUUUCAUGGAGCUAACUCCCCAAACCCUUAAAGGAUUCACAAUCCUAGACUGUAUCGUUGUUGGACUGUUUUUUUCAGAGUAUCUUAAGCUUUGGUUUUGGUUUCUAGUUUUUGUGUUUUUGCUUCGUCAUUUUAUGUUUUAGUUACUAGUUUCUUUUGUAUUUUUGAGUGUUGGUCUCUUUUCAUUUUCUAGCUAAUGAAACGCUUUGUAUCCUUUUCAAAAAAAGAGAAAAAAGGGGGAGAGGGAACACAUGUCAACUCGAUAAUCCGUUGAUGGUAUUAAUGAGAAAAAAUCAAAUAGAAGCACACCUUGCAUUUCAAACAAGUAAAUGAAAUUUUUUGAAAUUUAAAAGACUAAUAUGAUACUCUGAACACAAACGAAACAUAUAACCUAAUAUUUAAUCUUUUCGAUAGAUUCUUAACCAUAUCAAGAAUGAAAGUGCCAAUUUGAUUUUGUGCUGUGUGUCACUGUCUUGAACGAUGUUGAGCCACUAGGCAAAGUGAAAGUGAUAAUUGACCAAGUGCGCAUUACUGAUAAUGAUUUUGAAAUAUAUACACACAAAAAAUUAAAGAAAAAUGUAUGUAUAAAAUGUGAGAAAAAGGAAGGUGUAGAAAGCUUUAAACCCCACCAAAGCUAAGUCAAAUGAAUCCAAUGGUUCUCUAAAGUACUUUAGAAUGUGUACCUGAUGGUAUUUGAUGGAAUGUUGAAAAUAAUGGGGUUAGCUCCUCAAGUUGGGGAAGGUCACUGACUCCAUACCUUCAGCCACCACUGUCAAAAGUCGCUGAUUUGCUUUUCAUUACCAAUCAGAGUAUCAAAGCCUUUGAAUGGGGGCAACUCUGUAGACUCAUUGCAGCUUUGAUUGAUUGAAAGAGAGUGCCAUUUUCUGAACAUUGUCAACUGCUACCCCUGAAGAAAAAAAAAAGCUAUAUUAUUUGAAAUCUUAUCGUGUGUAAUUCAAAUUCAGAUUGUAGAUCCAUGUACCUAUAUUGCCAUUGAAUUGUUUAACUUUCGUAUUCAUCUACAUAUACCAGUUUCUACAAUACCAUUAAUGGUUUUGACAGUAAUUCUAUGGUUUUCGUUAGUCAUUAAUAUAAUAACAUGCUUGAAGAUUAAUCAAAAGAAAUGUUAUUAGAUGCAAAAAUUAAGAUCAUAUGGCAGAAUCUUGUUUUUUUUUUUCUUUUAAAGAAAAAAAAACUAGAGCACUAUUAAAAUUGAUGGUUAUAUGGAUGACAGUACAUUCCAAGUUGUAGUUCGAAGUGAAUAGUGAAGCUAUCAGAUAACCUAAAUUAAUGGUGUUGUAAGGCAUCAAAAUAAAAAUUGAAAGGAAAAAUAAGAAGCUCAUUCUCUGUUUAUUGAGGAGUUGUCAUUAAUUGAAACUAUCCAAUAUAGAAACAUUUUAGCUCUGUCCAACAAAAUUUCUCCAUCCGUAUAUUUGCUUAAUAAACCCAGCAGGGCAGCAUAACUUGUAUUGAGUUUGUUAAAAUUAUGCAAUUCAUUUUUUUUUCUUAAUUAGUAAAAUAAGGGUUUCUUUACUUAUUUUCCCACAAUGAAUAAAAAAUAACGUAAACUUUUGUACUCAGUUUAUGAAGAAUAAUACUUUCAUAAAAAAAAAGUAUCAUAAGCUCAAAUAAUUAUUUCCAAAAAGCAAAUGAAGAAUAAAAAAAAAGUUUCAUAAGCUCAAAAAAUUAAAGAGAUUUAGAUUUAGUAGCUCUAGAGUAUUUGGCCCAACAGCUCUGUUGGCAAGUUUGGUGUCUCUAGUUCAUACUAUCUUAGGGGUUCCAUGUUCGAAUCUUCUGGGGUCAAACCUUGGACCAGGGUCAAACCUUGGACCAGUGCUGGUAAGUAAAGGUCCAACUCCCAAUUAUUCAGCAAAUUGUUGUUAGAGCUAAAAUUAUGAUAUAUAUAUAUAUAUAUAUAUCAGCUGAGGGGUGAGAGAUUUGAGGUUAUCAGCUGAGGGUGAGAGAUUUGAACCUAAAACCUCUCACCCUCAGAUAAUACAAGCUUGUUUAUUUUCAAAUAGGAACAUAUUCUAAUAAAAUAGUAUAAGAAGUUUAUACUUUUACUUGUUAGCAUCAGGUAUUAUGAUGUCGUAUGAUCUGGUGAGUUUCAAGUAUAGAUAUUUUAUGCUGUUUUAAAAUCAAAGUUGAUCUAACAUUAAUAUUAAACAAAAUAACUUUUGCCAUCAUCUAACGGUCAAAAAGUAAUUAAAGUUGAACUAAAAUGUUGGUAUUUUAUUUUUAGAUAAUCUUCAUCUCUUUACUGUUUAUUUAAAGAUCAUAAUAAUAAUGAAAAUAUAGAACCUUGCACCCCUUCUGAUAAGAAAAAUGUUUAUUUCAUUAAAAAAUUAUAUUUUUAAAAAACUUAUGCAACCUUCUUUUUAUCAAUAAGUUCAUAACAACCAACUACCAAGGCAAAAAUAUCAUAAGCAAUUCUCAUAAAUCUUAUACUAGUGAGUUAUAACAUUAAUAAAAAUUUAAAUAAUAAUUUUAAAAAAAACUGCAGCUAUAUGGAACUCUUCUACGUGCAUCUCAGAAAACAAACUAAAUUACUUGUCAUUCCAGUGAAUAUCCAUAAGGAAUUAAUGCAAUUUUCACUCCGACCUAACACAAAAAAACCUAAAAUUCUGCAUAUUUCAGUUUAAGUUGCACUUUAUCUGAUUCUUAAUAGACAAGUUAGUCUGAGAAGCUGAACAACUUGACAGAGAUGAACAAUGUAAAUAGGAAUCCCCAACCCCUAACCUCACAGCCAUCAUAAAAUUAUUAAAGCAGAACAUGCUGUGCUAUGGGAUAUCUAAAAAACAAUGCUGGUUCCCGUGCUCUACAUGUCUGCCAGUAGACACUUUACCAUCCUUAGAUUUCUAAAUUGUAGGUAAUCUUAUGAACACUUGGUGAGAAAAUCUCUGUUUGACAGAUUAUAUUGGCAUGCAUGCUUCGUGCUUUCUUGUGAACAUUAUGGAAGGAAAGGAACAACCGCCUCUUCAAUGAAAAGGGGAGAUCUUUUGACACUUUUUUUUUUAUCAUACUGGCUACCUUGCUAUGACUUGGUGCAGAUGUACUAAUUUUUUCAAUUCUUACGAUCUGACUACACUUGACCAAUUGGAGAAAUCUUCUAUUACUCCUUUGCUUGGGCUCCUUGUCCUUCUUUUGUAAAUUCCAUAUAAUGAAAUUUGUUUCUUAUAAAGGAGAUUAUAUAUACAAAGACGAACCCUGCAUCGCAGGUCAACGAAAAGGAACCAAACUAAUUUCAAUUUAAAUGAUGUUACAGGAACCCUCUCCUAAAGAUCUGUUGUUCUAUGCUUUUUCAUAGGGCUUGGUUCUGUUCUCAAUUUUUUCCAAACUGUAACUGUAGACAGAAACCAACAACUAAUCAUUAAUAUCGUAUAUCGUAGUAAACAGCCCCUACCUAAGCAAACAACAUGCAGCAUAACAACAUUUAGUGCCUUUCUCUCUCCCUCAUUCCAUCCAAAAUUUAAAUGGUACAGAAUAUACUAAGCGCAUGAUUUUAGGCAUGUUUCGGGACACAAGAUAUUGGUUCAAAACAGAAUGGAAAAAUAUCCAACAAUCAACAUAUGGCCGAUGAUUCAUAAAAUAAAAAUAAAAGUAUCAAUCUUGGUAAGUUAAUCAACUAUGUGGAACUAAUUUAGUGAUAGACUUGGGAGAUAUCUCACCUGUUAGUAUUAGUCCUCCAGAAACUUUACACGUAGCAGCACAACUUCAAAGAAAACGAGUUCGAAAAUGAGACUGGUCCUAUGUUAAGAUAUAUCUUCGUUCAUAUAUCAAAAUUUAGAGACUACCGAAAAUCAGGGUGAGGCCAUGCUAGAUGCAGAAAAGGAAAAAGGAAAACAAUAUAAACUUUUCUGAUUAUUGAAUCAAAUGUGCCUCAAUCUCAGUUGAAGCACCUAAUUUUUUCUUAUUAAAUAACUGGUCCGUUUCUUUGUCCUCGACUCUUCAAUUACUCACAACUUGUGCAGCAUUUUUUUAAGGAAUUUUCUAACCGUAAUGGAGGUUGAAUAUGCAUUUGAUUUUGUAGACUGUAAUAUUGUUUAUUUAGAGAUAGUUUUUACACAUAUAUUAAUCAGAUUCUUUUCAUUCUUUAAGUCUUUAUCAUUACACUAGUUUAUACAGUAUAAUAAGUAUGUUUUAUUAAAAAUAUAUGUAGCGAUUGUAGUUUACUCACUCUAAGGCAACUAAUCUUGGAGACAAUCUUAAGUUCUACGAAAGGAAAAAAAUGUAAAAUGUACCCUACAUCCUAGUUGGUUAUCGAAUUUACUACAAGCCUCUUUGGAUAGAAGUAAGAGAAAUAUUUAGAAAAUAACAGCCCAUGACACCUCUUUUUUACAUAUUGUGAAUAUUGCAAAUAUGACAAAUAUGCAAGUAAUUAGUGAUAUCAGACGACUAUCAUAAGCCUAUUAGAGAGCCAUCAAAGGGUUAUCAGAGAGCUAUCAAAGGGUUAUCGGCUUUUAAUUUUACUACUGUUACAAUUUAGAAAAUGUAAUGACAUAGGCCCUAUUAUCAUAAAAUUUUUUACAAGCUCCCCUAGAAGUAAUUGUGAAGACUGCAACGUAGUAUCUUCAUAACAUGUUUUAUUGCGAAAGUUUGCCUCGUCAUUCAUUCAUGUCCAAUCUUUCCAUAACUUGAAAUAGAAAAAUCGACGAACUUUCAAAUUGUUUCCUCUUCCUUUGUCAUUGAUCUUACUAUUUUAUACAUAAUUAUAAAAGUCAAUACAGCCUCUUUUAUCAAUAUAAGAACAGUCAGUUUUUGUGAAAGGGCGGAAGUGAAAAAGAUAUAUAUUUAAUAUUUAUCAAGCACAUCAAUCUUUGUGGGCUUGAAAUAUUUGAAAGGCCCAACAAGUGGAAUCGAUUUUAAUUGGAGAGGAAACGAUAAUGUAGUGGCUUGAACACAGGACCUCCCUAAACCACCUGCUCUGAUACCAUGUUAAACUUGAUAGUAUGGGAUUCCAUACCAAAACCAUUUGGCAAUUAGAGGAGUAGCUCAUCUAUCUUAUAUGGGUAUGAGAUUUUUGGUUUUUUUAAUGUGAGACUCUCAACUUCCCCAACAUGCCCCUUCAAGAUGGUGCCUCUUCGGAUUCAUCUAUCUUGGACCAAAUAACCGUUUGAGCUUACUGGACUAUGAUACCAUGUUAAAUUUGAUAGUAGGGGGCUCCAUCUCAAAACCAAUUAGCAAUGGGAGGAGUAGUCCAUAUCUUAUAUAGAGUAUGAAUCUCUUUGAUUUUUUCUAUGUGGGGAAUCGAUUUUAAUUGGGGAGGAAACGAUAAUGCAGGGGUUUGAACACAGGACCUCCAUGAACCACCUGCGCUGAUACCAUAUUAAAUCGUCAAUUCACUCAAAAGCUUAAGUUGGUGGUUGAAGGAAAAUUUAAUCAUAUAUCACAAACACUUGUUGGAGAAGUUGAGAGUCUCACAUUGGAAAAACCAAGGAGACAUAUACUCUAUAUAAGAUAGAUGAGCUACUCCUCUAAUUGCCAAUUGAUUUUGAGAUGGACCCCCAUACUAUUAAAUUUGACAUGAUAUUAGAGCCCAGUAAGCCAAUCGCCUAAACGGGUAUUCAAUCUAAGAUAGGUGAACCCAAAGAGGCACCAUCUUAAAAGGGUAUGUUGGAGAAAUUGAGAGUCUCACAUUGGAAAAACCAAGGGGACUCAUACUCCAUAUAAGAUAGAUGGGCUACUCCUCUAUUGCUAAUUGAUUUUGAGAUGGAACUCCAUACUAUCAAGUUUAACACUAACCAUCCGAAAGUUGUUUAGAUGUAGUUUUGUGGGAGGGGAAGAGAUUUCCUCUACCCCCGCUCUUGGUCUAAUUUUACCCCUUUCUUGUUUAAAGAGAUUUCAAGAAUUAAAAAUAUCCAUCUUUUCUUUUACCUGAGGCUGCAACUAAGUUCUAAAUGAUUAAGGAAUAAUCACUACUUUCAAUUACCCUUUUCAUAUAUUCGGCCAUCCAGAAUUUUGAACUAUUACUAUGAAUGUGUCUGCAUGUUGGCAGGAAUCUAUCUAGACAGUGGACCUAAUGAAUCUCACGGUGGAAAGAGGAAGUCUGCAGGUGCAAUGAUGAGGAAGAGGAACAAUGAAUAGAAAGGAUGAUAGCAUGCAGCAACAAUUGAAAGAGAAAGGAGAAAUAGAUGGAUGACAUAAAAGGACAAGGAAAAAAUGGGAACAUGAUCUAAGUUUGAUGUUUUAAAGUACAUCAAACAUUUAUGUAUUUUCUUGAGGUUGUAAAGUUAUAAUAUGUUUGGCUCGUGUGAAUAAACAUGUGCCUUUACAAAUUUGUUGGCUCCUAGGCAUUCUGGUCUUGUGCCUACUGAGAAUGUAAGGCAAAGGAAAUUGACUUAUGAAUGAAGCAAAGGUAUAAAGAGAAGCAUAAACAAGAUUGUUGCAUUACCAGGAACACCUUCACAGUUGUAGCAUUUAAAACAGCCAGUCAUGAGAUGAUCAAACGAACUAUCUGUCCCAAAAAGCGGAAUGUCUUGGUUGCUUCUCUCAAGCAUUUAUUUCUGUCAUCCCGAGACCAGUGCUGCAUUAGCACCCACAUAGCAACAUAGGAUUACAAAAUGGUAAAGCAAGAUCUAAAAAAAACAGUAUUAACUAAAACCAAUUUACUAAAUAUUCCACGAAAUCAACCUCUCCAAGCAUGUUAAGCUUCUCACGAACAUUUUUCAGCAAUUCUUCUGCAUCCCCAGCCCAUGUAUAAAAUUCAAGCUCUCUUCCUUCAAGAAGUCUCUCAGAAACCUUUGGGAAAAGAUUAUAAUCAUGAUAAAUUUUUAUCAGCUAACAAGCAAUAUAAAUACAUGUAAGUUCUUAAGUAACAAUAAUUUUUAGGAUAAACAAUCAAUUCUUGUCGGGCGUUUUUUGCAUGAAGGAGGCGACAAGUCAUCAAACACUACUUAUUUAUAUAAGCAAUGCCCAAAGGUUGGUUUAUAACUCGUGACUCAAAUAUAAAAUCACAGGCAGAGGCAGCUUCUUUCCAUGAAGAAAGGCUACUAGCCUACUAAUCAUCUUCGUAUAAUAAGUUCUAGUAGAAGAGCUUAUAGAAUAAAGGUUUCUUUUUUAACUCAGAUCCCAGUAGCAUCAGAUUGUGAAUGCAAAAACGUCAGAAGGCUUCACACAUACCCGUUUAGCUAUCACUUGCCCACCUGCUAUAUGUGAAAAGUAUAUAUUGUAGUAAUGGCAAAGGAAUAAAGGGGCACUCCUCUCAGCAAGUUCCUCCAGAUACUUGGCAUAAGAAACUCCUGGAAUGGUAGGCUCAGGUAUCACAAUACCCUGUUCGCGAAACCAUUCUAGAUCCUUUGCAAGACCUUCUGAACGUUCCAUCCCUGAUUUUCUGAAGUAACUAUCUGCAAUCAAAAUACAUGAUUUCAGCCUUUUGAAAAUAAAAAUGAACUGAAACCAAUCGUCAGUCAACAGUAAACAUGCUUUUCCAUUUCUUAAUAAAUCAAAAACUUUAUACCAAGUUGGUUAGUUUUUAAAAAUACUAGCCAAGAGUGCACAUCAUCAAAUUACUUUUUUUUUUAUAUAGAACCAUUCAAACAACCCUGAGAAUCACAUUCAAAAUCAAAGCCUUUCCCGAACCUCUUUAAACCAUUCCCAAAACACUUUGUUAGAAGAAAGAGGUUGAAGGAGGUCUCUCAAAAAGAGAUUUACAAUGGCAAAGUUGAUUUCAGAUCAAAAUCCUGAUCUUUUAGAAUCAAAUUGUGCCCAUCUUCAAGCCCAUUCUUUUCCAAACAGGUCAGUUCUUCAAAGCACGAUCCAUCCACAUUUUAAAUACUCUAUUUUUUCUAUACCUAAUUCAAAGGUAAAAUUCUUGAGAGGUUCUCCUAGCCAAACUCCGGUCCCCUCAUAAAAAAAGAAGCUUGUUUCAUAUUUUGACUUUCCAUUUAGUGUGAGCUGUGAGGAAAGUGAUUUGAUAAGAUUAGAUGAGAAGGAAGAUCAACUGUUGAAGGACCCUUUAGAGAUUGAUCUAAAUUCUCUGUUCCAGACUAAGGGAGAUUUAAUUUUUGAGAAACAGGCCACUGGAAGUCCCUCACAAGCUCAUCAAUGUGAUAUUCCAGAUCAUUUGAAGUCCUUUGUUGAGAAAUGUGGGUUAGUUUUGGCUUGAGCACUGAAAGUAGAUAUGAUUUUUGGUUCCUCAGACAUUUAAUCUCAAAAAUUGAAUGGGAAUCCGGUGAUUCCCAGGCCAUAUGGGAAGGAUUGUUGAAGCAAGAUAAUGGUUUUUCGUAAAGUGAGAGAUUUCAUGUUUGGCCUUUUCCUUUGUAUUUCUUUCUUCCUUUCAGAAUUCUGUUCGAAGAAUUGGAGCUUGAAUGGGCUUUUUCAAUAGUGCACGUGCAGCUUUUUUUAGUGAGGUGGAAGAUUUCAGCAAGUCUUCCAGGGCACACGAAGUAUUUUUCAAUCAAGCUUGAAGCAGCUCGACUUGUUACCUUUUCUGGGUGUUUUCAUUUCCAUUCAUUUUUUAAGCCAUUUGUAAUUAAGUUUUUAGCUGAUUUGGGGCUCCUUGUUGAAAGUUGUCAAAGAGCCAUAGAGAUAUCUAGGGAGCAUUAGAGAGGAUAUCCUGCUGCCAGUAACAGGAGAUAUUAGAAAGAUUCAAAGAGGAAUAACAAGCAACCAGAGGCAAGGGAGUUGUCACUAUCUUGAAAAUCCUUACACAAGAACUUAAUUGAGAACCCUAAAAUUUUAAAAUAUGAGUGCGUACAUCUUCAAGCACAAAAGCAUGCAUAGGAAAGACACUGAUCUUUAAAAUAAGUAAAAAGACAUGCAUCGAGGUUCACUUUUGCCAUAAGUAGGAAGGAUAAAAAUAGUACCAACAGUCAAAUCUCUACGGUCGCAGAAACCAGUAUUAGUCCCCAACAUUAUCAUGCAUCCUCUCGUCUAAGCAUAAACGAAAUAUAAGCAAUCUGGAAGAGAAAAUGGUGAGAGGAAACUUACAAGCAACGUCGCUGGAUUCAUCAACGAUUCGCUCCACGGUGCUGAAGACGAGCUUACUAUCAACCAAAUAUUUAAGGAAUCCUUCCAAACUCGGGUCCCAAGUCUGUGUUCCAUCCCCGUUCUCAUCAUUGUCAUCGUCACUCAACGCCAAAUCUCCAUCACCUUUCUCCCCUACUUCAUCUUCGCUGGAUGAAUCCACAGCAUCACCAGACAACUUUUUACCGUUAACAUUAAGAAGUCUCAUGGCGACAAACCUCAACUCCUCAGUAAUGCCUUUGCUCUCGCCAGGAUACUCUCUCCUGUACCUCUUCCUCCUCUUCAGAACUGGAGGAGCAGGGCCGCCCGUGGCUGCCGCAGUUGUGGAAGUCAAAGGAGCAGAAUGAUUUGAAUCCGAGCAGCAUAACCUCAGAGCACCUCCAUUUCUGAAUGACAUCUUCCGAGUCAUCACAAUUUUACAAUUCAUCAAAGGUCUUGAAGGACAUAAGAAGGUGGAGGAAGAAACAGAGGCAUGCGUUGAAGAAAUUAGUUGAAAAUAAUGCAGCGAUACACUCUCCGGCAGCGUCAUCGGCGCGGGAACGGGGAGGGUGAGGAUUUUUGGUCAGCAAUGUCUAACUUCGCCGGAGUCCCUGGAAGAUUGGAAUCUGACGUGAAGGCCGGGCUUCAGUGAAGCAUCAAACUGGGUUGGGCUUCCCGUGAGAAAAGGUCUACUAGCCUUACCCAUCCUCAUCCACGCUCUUUUUAGCGGGUAGUAGAUAUUGCCCUUCCACAUUUUUGUAUUUCGAGCGGGUAAUCAAUUUCUAAUUUGGAGUUGAUACUAUAUUUACCAUGUAAAUUGAUGUAUAUGUUUUUUAACUCUUAUACUCGUAUUAUAACACAUUUUGUCUGACAUUCUAUCAGAUAAUAUAUUGUAAUCAAGUUAAACUAUGUUCGAUUUAGUUCUAAUAUAAUAUUUCAAUCUACAAAUUUCACAUAAUUUAACAAAAAAAGAAGUACUAAUUUACUCUAUAAAAAAGUCAUGAAUGUAGAUAGAACGAAAGAUUAAUAGUUUUUUAAUCCAUAAUUUAUUUUCUUAAAAGAGAACCUUCAAUUCUACUUUAUUAUGGCUUCAUGUUCAUUUUCCUCUCAUAUUUUUAUUAUUCUUUAGUUUCAAAAUAAACCAAAAUAAUAUAGAAAUCAAAAUGAACUAAAAUCGAAAAUGAAACCUGUAAAAUUAUACAAAUUUAAUUUAUUGAAUAUUUGAUACAUUUCAUCUCCUACGUUCAAAUGGUAGUAACUGUAAUUGGAUAGUGAAAGAAAAUUUACAUCAAAUGUUGGUAUGUAUGUACAAUACAAUCUCCCUUUCUGCCCCUAACCUUGUAUCAACACAAUGUUACAGGAAAAAGGGGAAAAUACAUUUUAAUGAAUGAUGAAACUUUAAGGCUGAUGGAUGUAUCUUCUAUGCUAUGUUAGCAUUCAGAUUGUCGAUGAUGUCACUUGCAUUUUGGUAGAGGAAGAAUGUUAUAUCCAUCCAUAUUUCAAUCCUUGUGUCUAAUGUAUCAGAACGUUGUGUAAGCCAUCCUCUAACGACUAUAUACAAAAAAAAAAAAAAAUUGUACUUUCCUAACCAUAGCGAGAUUUCAAUUUCUGCAAAAAUUCCAAUGUCUCAGUGUAUGAAGGGUCAGUGCGGCUGAGGGGCUUACACGAAUUUAUGUGAUCCGUUGAUUCUAAUACCUGUAUAGUGAUGAAAGAGAAGAAAGAUUUGUAAGACACAAGUGGUUUAGCAACUGGAUUGGUUAACAAGAUAAGAACAUAUAAGAUCGGUUAAUAAGAUGCAAGUCCCAAAAGAAAAAUAAAAACCUCGAGUUGGUAAAAAAAUUUGGUUCUUAGUUUUUUAUUUGUGAAAAUUAAGAAAUGAGAGGAAGUAAGCUUACAGUUUCAAAAAACCAAAAAUCCUCGAAUCAAAUGGAAAAAAUCAGUUGACAAUUUUCAUGGUAUACUAGGCCAAACUCCAAAAAUAAUAGCUGAUGAUAAUUGAAACUUAUGUCCAGAAUUCUGUGAUUACAAACUAAUCGUUAAUCAUACUUACAACUAGUUCGCCGAAUCCAGGAUAUGCAGAUUCAAUGGGAACAAUUUCCAUUCGGAAAGCCCAUCCUCCAUAACCUUCAACAAUUGGAGUCACCUUCGUCUGCACAUAAUCAUAAGCUGCCAUCAUUAUUCUGAAGUAUAAACACGAAAGAACAUUGUAUUUCAACUCAAGUAGACUACCUCACAGAAACUAAGGACCUCAAGCAAUCCUUUCUUAUGGAGGUGACGAAGAAAAUCAUUCAACUCCACCAAUCUAGGAGACCCACUUCUCAGCUCUCCUAUCUGAAUAACAAGAAAUAUAAUUUGAUUAUAGUAUAUAUAUUGAUGAGAAAGAUUUGAAGUAGUUUUCGAAGAAAAAACAAGAAAUCAAACGAUUAGUUGCUUCGCAAACAGAGUCACUUUGUUAAUGGAGUCAAAUACUAACAGUAGGAGCAGGGCGGAACACAAGACCCAUUCGCCAAGGCAUGUCUGCUAGUUUGCUGCCAAAAUGUGGGCAGCUAUAGAAGACCUGAAGUCAGUGGUCAACCAGAUAUGACUGAUAAGAAGAUUGAAGGCACUAAGAUAGAAAACAAAGCAAGUAAAACAAAUAUUUGAAUGUAACAUACAACUCCCACAGUAUUCUUCACAAGGUUAUCGAUAUUUUCUGUCUUGGCUUUAUACAACAUUUGCUUGACAACCAGCCCUCCCAUGCUGCAAACAAGAAUGUUGCAUUUGGUUAGAGGGUUUCCUUCACAUGAAGAACAAAAAAAAAAAAGAAUAAUAGUGAAUAAAUAGACACGGAAUAGAUAAAUCAAACUAAAAGAUACGACUACUUGCUGGCGCCUAUAACUUGAGUGCAUUACAAAAACUAGUAACGAGCAACCUUAUACACUUUUUCAAGCAAAAAAGAAAAGAACCCAAACGAACUCUGCAAUAAGAAGGCUAGAAAAUCAAUUAAAUGGCUGAGGUACCAGGCUUUCAAAGAUUUGGCAAUUGACGGUGAAUACAAUAAAGCAUCUUCAACCUUCGACGAACAAAAACAGCAAAAAGAAUAUCUUUAAUGUGAAGAACAAAAAAUAUCUCCGGAUCAAGAAGGCAGCAUUUAAGCAGUGAAAGAGAUCCAACUCAAAAAACAGGAGGAAGGAUGACAAAAUAAACUCCUACCAUGCUAAGAUCUGACAAAAAUGUAUAAAUCUAAGCGGAAAACAAUAUUUGUCAAGGUGAAAGAUUUCACAUCAGAACAAACAGAAAACCAAGCUAGACUUGGGUGCCGUUUUUGUACAAACCUGUGAGUAACAAAUACAACAGGCCGAUCCCCAAUUCCAGCAGCGACGAGCUUAUCCAGUAGCAUGGAGCUGACUUCCUUCAAGUUUUAAAAAUUAAAAGUUGAUGAUCAAGCAUUCAACAAAGGCAACAAUAACAAAUACUCUCAAUCCAUUAGACUGCUAAAGCUCGGUAAAGAGAAGAGAAGAAUAAUUUAAUCAACCUAUCAGCUAAAAUCCCUAAUGAGCAACAUUACAAGUUUAUGAUUUGGUUUUUUAUGAACUUCAAGGAAUUGCUAAAUUACAAGUUAAAUGAACCUGAAGAGGAAGGCUAGCCCCAGACCACUGAGUGAGAUUUGUCUGCACAAGAUUUAUAAAACCAAAUCUUUUAGACGCACAGAUCAUUUUCAACUUUGCAACUGAAGUUUAUGGUUUUUCAAUAAAUGAACUAUUUAUUUUUUAAAAUACCUUGUAUUUAAGGGUAAACAUACGAGCCCUUGGGAAGUCAGAUGAAAGCCAUUCACCUGGCCAAAACGUCCCAAGUUUCCCUGCCUCCUGGUCAAUCUUCUCUACCAGUCCAGAUUUUGUGGAGGAUUUGUCCUCAGAUAUGCGCCAUGACUUGUAAGGUCCACCUCGGAGGCCAUGAAUAAAAACAACAUCUACCAAAGGAGAAUCUGGCCUAGAAUCAUUCUGAGACACAUGAGAUAAAGAGGUGUUAUCAUUUCCAUGCCUUGCCACAGCUGCACCAUCACUAUCAAUGAAAUUAGCCUGUGAAAGAGAAGAUUCAUCCUUUCCAACAGUGUCCUGCUCCUUUUCUUCAUGAACCUUCCAGUGAGGCAGUUCAGGAUUUAUUAAAAAAACCAUAUCAUCAUAACGGGGACAAUUCUUUUUCCUGUUUGUAGACUCAGCAGACUCGGAAUCAGAGAGAGACCCAUUUUCAGAAGCUCUACGGUUAAUACAAAAUAUAUUCAACAGUGUGGCUCUAGCAUAACUUUGCAGUUUAGCAUCAUGGCAACCAGGAAUGGCCCCAUUGGCACAGUCCUCAAGCCAUCUACAAAAUUCUUCAUCCGAGAAAAUCUCCUUCUGGACUUUCUCUAGAAGUGAAAGGAUGGUUAAAAGCCGCGCAGCAUGUCUACGGAUGUGAGCUGUAGGGGGUACUCGGACACUAGACGAAUCAUUCUUCUUCUCUGAAAGUGAUGGUUCCCCAGAGGCAUUUGAUACAAGUUCUUGAGCCUCAAGGACUCUAGAUGCAUCAUAAGCUUCCAUGGCUGCCAGCUUCUCAUAAUCAUCACAUAACAAAAGGCGUCUCAGCAAAAAGAGAAUGCCAAAAUCAGCUAUUCUGCUCUGACAUGAAGAAUCGUCUGCACAAACUUCGGUCAGUGCUUUAAUCCCCUUUAACGUUGCCAUUGCAGAAUCUGCUGCAUCAAACUUUGGACUAUUCUCUUUUUUUAUACUCUUUAACGGAGCUACAAAAGGUUCACGUGAAAGUAAAUCUGCCAACGGAGAGGUAUCUAAUGAAUCAGUAGUUGCCCCAAACUGGUGUACCGCCAGGUUCACAACAGCACUCGCUAGCUGACUAGCAACUUGACUGGCAAAAACAAUGUUUGACUGCUCAAUCUUCGUCUGCAAAAUUCCAUCAAGAGAACUUCAGUAAAAUAAGAUUGACAAAAUAUCCUCGUUUGUAAAUGCACUACAGUAUGACAUAAAUACAUGUGUGUGCUCUAAGCAGCAUGUAAAAAUCAUUUUGAUGUUAGUGAAUAACACAAUGAGCAAUUGAGUGUAGAAAAUAAAGAUGUUUGCAAACCUUCACUUUGUCAUUUUGAAGCUGAGUAGCUCCAUUCGCUGCAGGCUUUUUGAUAGAACCUAGUAUUUCAGUCAGCAAUAUGGCCAACCAUCCUUGAGAAAUAGGUAUGGAGCUUGGUCCGUAGUCUUCAAGGAUGCAAGACAAAAUUUUAGUUGCAGAAGACCUCAAGGAUUCAGAGGAAAUUUUGCCAAAGACCCAUUGAAGUAAUAUAGCAGACCAUCUCUGACUCUCUUCAGCUGAUAGAUGCAUGCAUCCAGUGCUCAGUAACUCUAAUGCUUUUGCUAACGAUUCUUGAACCUCUCCAUGUUUUUGGGUCCGCACAGCAGCAUCUCUCAUUAGAUGCAAACCCCUCUCCAUUAUCUUCUUUUGUGCCUCAGGGAAACGUUCAACAGAAGCCAAAAAUGCACACAGAGCAGCCUGAGCCAAAGGGAUGUCAUCAUUUUUACUUGCAUGAGAAACAGUAGAAAGAAGACUUGAGCUCCAAUCAGAAACAGAAUCAUUUAACGGGAGAUUACGGUCCUCUAGUAAAAGCCUAGCCACCAAACUUCCAUGCCAUUUCACCGACCUUUCAGGUGCCAUUAAAGCAGUCAUAACAGCAUGUCCAUCUUGAUCUAGUUCAUGGAUGUGCAAUCUGUUCAGUUCUGACGCCAUUGACCAAUUUGCCAACGCCCACGCUGCAAAAGGUACAGCAACAUGCUCACAAUGCAAAUCAUCCCACAAACCAGGAACAACAGAAGAAUUAGCAAUGAGAGAGCUAUCAUGCUUCUCUGAUACUGAAGUUUUAGAUGUAUUUUUUACCAGUUCUACAUGACCACCAUCGGAAUAUGCCAACUUCACAAACCCACUUACUCUCGACAGACCCAAAAUAGUAGUGCCUCCAAGAAUCUUAAUUCCUAUUCCUUUGAUUCCUCUUCCACCAUCUUCAUCAUCACCGCCAUUUGGUUCAUCAAAUUCCAAACCACCCUCUUCAAUAACUUGAAUAGCUGCUGCAAUAUCUCUAGUUUCGGCAUGUGCAGGCAAAGAUGGCUCAAAAGCUAGAUUCUCUAACCUAUCACAAUUGGAUGUUACAAUAUCCAUGAUGGCAGCCACAAGCAUGCUCCUACCUUUCAAAGAAUCAGAAAUAUCGAAUGAACUACGUCUUGGAUGCUGUCCCACAAAAAGGCGACAAAUAUCAAUGGAAAACAAGACUUAAGGGGGGAAUAUCAACAAAAACCUGAGAACAGUAUUUUAUAUUUUGUUUCGAGAGCAAAAUACCAAAGAGCCGACUGCUUCAGUGGCAUCAAGUGACAACAUCAUAUUACGUUAUCAUGUUUUCUGAAGCCGCGUGUACUAUUACCUUAUCUACCAAUUUCACUCAACGUCCGUUUUCAAGCCAUUUCAUGGGAAGGCAAUUGUUACUCUACCCAAAAACCUUAAUUUCCUUUAAUCAAGAAAAUUGCUUUCCAAAUUUUAGACGUGCUAGGCAGGUUUUGGUAUGCGUGAUAAAAAGGCAAAUAAGGCAUUGAAAAGAAAAGAAACUCGCCGUAUUUGUAUCAUGUACUUGUCUAAGACUUGUGUUAUUUGUCUCAAGUACUAAAAUUCUAAUGUAUGUCUAAUUUCUUUUUCUUUUUUGCACAAGAAACAUGUUAAAACUUUAUUAAUCCCAAAUGUAUAUCAUAAAUUUUACCUGUUUCGUUCGCCGAGGCUGACAUGAGAAGAUGAACCUCAAAAGAUUUGGAACAGCACGAGGCCUACCAAGGACGGAAGCAGACACAUCAGGAUCAGCAAUCAAGUAGGCCAGCGCUCUGGCCGACUCAGCCUGGCUUCCACCUCCAUCCCGAGGAACCGCCACCGACUCGAGCAACCAGUCCACCACAGCACCGCCUCCAGCCCCAACAAUCGCCGCCCUACGGCUGGCAUUGGCUGCAGCAAUGUCGGCCAGCAAUGCCGCGACCCUGAGUUCAAACCCGGACCGAACCUCAUGAUUGGCAGACGACAUAACCGACCUUAACGACUGCCAGAGAACCGAAGCGGCAACGCCAGUUUGUUUAAUGUGAUGAAAAAUCUUCUUAAAUGAAUCGGUAGAUCUCUGAGCCGCCCCUUCAAUCCCAUCAUACAGAUGAUUAUAACUCUCAUGGGAGCGAUCAGACCAACUGUCAGAGGUAAGAAAAACAAUGGAAGCGACUAAAGCAGAAACAACAGCAGCGGAGACAGUUACAAUCGAAGUGCGAGAAAAAGAAGUGGGUGACGCACUAGGCAACAAACUUCUCUGUGGACGGUGCAAAAUAGGAGCCGGGGGUGAUACUAGAUGCGAAUUCUGAAGAUUAUUCGAGCCCUCGAUUGAUUUUUGCGCAGUAGAAGACGAAGACGACGAUGAGCAACGACGAAGAUGAAUCAAACGAUAAGAACACCGACUUCUCGCCCAAGCACGAAGCAUAAUUUCUUUAUCCAAAACUUGAAGAUAACUAUUUCCCAGUUCUUAAUUCGAACAAAUUUUGUCAGCUAAGAGAGGGAAUGGAAUAGAUUAUCUCGCUGAUCUUCUUCGUUGAUCGUUCCUCGGAGGACAACGCAAAUGCGAAAUAUAUGGCGGGACAACAAUGGGCGAGUUAUACGGUAAAGAAAGUCCAUAGGGAAUUUUCUCGUAGAUGCGAACCUCCCAAGCGAUGAAUGAUAACUAGUUGCAUAAAUAGUAAAAAAAAAAAAGGCCUAAAGUAAUAAGAUAUAUAUAUCAAUAAUAAAACAAUAACAUAUAUCUUACUACCUUACUAUAUUAAAAAUGUCUUAAAAAUAAAUCAUUUUGGGAAUGACUCUACUCUUUUGUUAAAUUUUAAAUUUAUAACGUUAUUCUAUACUUUAACAUAAAUAUUAGUUGUGAGUUAAAUUUAGAAGAAAAAGACUUAAAUUUAGAAGAAAAAAAAGAAGUUUAUGAAUUAUAUUAUUGUAUAAUUGAUUUAUUAUUUAUUUUAUUUCAUUAAUGUAAAUAAUAAAAUCAAUAAUUAUCUUUUCAAAUUCUUUUAACUUCAUUAUAUAGAUUAUAAAAGUUUUUAUCUAUUUACUUCUAUAAUUUAUUUUCUGAAGAUUAUGAAUUUAUAUUUAAUGAUUAAAUUAUAAAAAAAAAAAAAAAAACUAGGCUAUUUAUAUUUCAUGUAUUUUAUAUGAAUUGUAUUAUUUUAUAAUUGAUUCAUUGUUUGUUUUUAUUUGUUUAAUAUAAAAAAUAAAAUAAAAAAUGAUUAUCUUUUCAAAUUAUCAAAAUUCUAUAUAUUUUUACCUAUUCAUUUCAUUCCUUUAAUUUAUAAAAAUUGUGAAUGAGUUUUUAAAAUAAGUUUAUGAAUUAUAUUAUUUUAUAAUUGAUUUUAUUAUUUCCUUUUAUUUAUUUAAUAUAAAGAAUAAAAUCAAUAUUAACUUAUAAUUAUCUUUUUAAAUUCUUAAAUUCUAGUUUUUAUUUAUUUGUUUCAAUAAUUUUAUUUUUAAAAAACAUGAACUUAUAUUUAAUAAUGAGAUUUCAAAUAACCAUUAUUUAUAAAUAUUUAAAUUUUUUUAUGGCAAAGGUGUAUGUUUUUUUUAAUAAUAAUUUCUAUUAUGUAAUAUAAUAUAACAUUGGUUGAUCCAAAUUUCAUCAUUCAUGUUUGAGUUUGAUAUUACGUUAUAUAAAUAUAUUUUUGUGUUACAAGAUAUUAAUCUUGAUGAUUUUAGAGAAAUAGUUGAAGUAAUAUAUAUUUUAUAGGACAUUGAUUUACUUUUAAAUAUAAUUUAAAAGAGUCAAAUAAAUAUAUGAUUUUAGAGAAAAAAAUAUAAAAAAUGAUAUAAUGUCGUUCAUUAUAAUGUAGUUUUAUCUUUCUAUGUAGUUGAAAAUAAACUAACUGUUUUUCUUUAUUUUUCUUCGUCCUUUGGGAUAGUUUAAGUUCAAGUUGAAGGUAGAUUUUCUUAUUUCUCAUUUAUUUUACGUUACAUUUUAUUUUAAGAUUUGAAUUGUUAUAUUACAUCAUUUUUCAUAAAAUGUAUUUAUUUAGAACUAUAUUUUAUUGUUCACGAUUAAUGUGAAUACGUGAUCUUAUAUUUUUUUCAAGCUACAUUCAUAUAAAACUGUUACUAUGAAUCCAUAAACGAAUAAAAAAUAGAUGUUUUGAGACCCAUUGUUAUAUAGUUGAAGAGGUAAUUUAUCACUCUCUAUACGUUAAUGUUUACUUAUAAAUUAAAACUUAGGUGUUUUGUUUAAUUUAAUUUAAAAUUAUUUAUAGUGCUAAAAAAGAACGUAGCUCAUUUGUCAUCAAAGUGUAUUAGUAUAUACCCACGAAGUUCGUAGUUUGAAUCUCCAUACUCAAUUAAACUACAAAAAAGUUACUUUUAGUGACAUAUUAUUUUGUUUAAUUAUAAAUAUUUAAAUAUAAAAAGUCAACAAUAUAAUCUUUACACGUGCAAUACAGUCGAUAUUUUCUAUGACUAUGAGUGAUAGUAGUUAUUAAUCUAUCAUGAAUAAUUGUUUUCGGUGGUAAUACCACUGGUAGCUUUAAUUUGAAAAAUGAUUACUUCACACGCAUCUUGAAUUUUUAAUUUUGAAAGCUAUCGUCAAUAACUAGAAUUAGUGAAUAUCAUUGUUAGUUGUUGUCAAUUAUUAUCGUUGAUAACUAUUAUCAAUAAUAACUUGUCACCGCUACAAAUAUUUUUUUUCCCGGUUUUCUUAAUUUUAGAGUAAUCAUUCAUAGCAAUUGAUAGCUAAUAUACAUUGAUAUAUGUUGUCAAUGCUAGCUUUUAAUUUGAGAAAUAUGUUAUUUGAUAUAUUUGGUAUCAAACAUGAUUGAUAAUUUUGAUCAAUUAUAGUCUAUAGAUGAUAGAGUACCUUUGAAUUUGAGAAAUAUGACAUCAAUUGUUAUAGUUAGCUGCUAUCGCUGAUGACUACUAUAAAUGAUAGUUUUUAAUUUGAGAAAUAUGACAUCAGUUGCUAUCACUCAUAUAUUCUAUCAGUGAUAUUGCUAUCAAUUGAUAUUCGUGAUAGCUACUAUGAGUCAUUUUUUGUAUUGCUAUCAACGUAAAAUUAUGUCACUAGCGUUAUCUGUCAAUAAUUACAUUUGAAUGGCGUUGUUGAUAGCAAGUAUAAGAGACAUCAUUAUAAGCAUACAUUUUUUAAGUGAUAUAUCACUGGUAAAUAUAUAAGUUUUUGAUUUAUGAAGUUUAAUUAGGAUAUCAAUUGAUAUUUUUUAUACCUACUAUCGAUGUUAUUAUUAUAUUAAUAUCUAUUGGUGAUACCAUCCUUGAGUAAUAUCCAUAACAUGCUAGUGUGUAUCAACAAUAUCAAUGUAAUGGUUGUUUGUGUUUUAUCAUAAAUGAACAAAGAGAAGACACAAUAUUAGUAUGGUAUCAGUAAUAGAUUCAAAUCACUAUUAACAUGCUAUCCAUAUGGUAGGUUCAGUCACUAAUAGUAUAAAUUAAAACUGAUAUAACAACAACUUUUAUUGAAAUAAAUUAUUGAUUUUAAGUCAUGCUAUCAACAUUUAUAUCACUUAGAUAUUAAAAGUUCAAGCCAUUAGAGAUAAAUUAAUGAAAAAACACAUUGAUACAUUAAGCCUUACGUAAUCGAUAGAAGUCAUCACUAAUAGUAUGAUAUCCAUGAUAUAAGUGUAAAAAACCUGUCAUUUUUGCAUUCUUCACGUGUGCUGUAUAUUAUAUUUAUUUUUCUAAUUUGUACUAUUUUUCAAUUUGCUAUUUAAAAAUUUGUUGUUUUGGCAUGAAUAUAAGUACGUAAUUUCAGUUGACAUAUGACUUAUAAACUUUUCAAUUUCCUCUAAAACUUAAAUACUAUUGAAGUUGUAAUUAAAAACGAAGGACAGAGUUGAAAUUUGUUCAUCUAUAAACUAACUAAAUUUUAUUACAUUUCUCAUAAUGUCAUUUCUUUCUUAAUUAUUGUUCAUGUCUAUUUCUUAACUUCGUUGGGCUCUCUUAGACUAUUUUAUUCAUCGGGCUCUCUUAGACUAUUUUAUACAUAUAUCGAGUAACUCUAUAUAUUUUCGAUAAUUUUACGAUAUCUUUAAAAAAAUAUCUAAUUAAUUUACUUAAAAAUAAUAUUAAGUAAUGACGUGGGUAUAUAUGUUAAACAAAAUAUUAAAACAAUAAAUCUAUGUAAAAGUUUAAGGGGCAAAAUUGUCAUUUUGUUAGGACGGUGUUCCACCUCCCUUAAUCUUCAUUUUUAAGAACCAGACGAGGGAAGCCUUGUUGCCAAAGAAAGUUAAAAGUCUUGCAUGCCCGGCAGCCGGAUCAGAUCGACGCUGAGGGAAAACUUUACGAAUGGAGCGCCUACAGAGAAUGUUCGCCGGUGCCGGAGGUUCACUGGGCCACCCUCCGCCGGACUCGCCCACUCUUGAUUCGUCGGAGCAGGUCUACAUCUCCUCCCUCGCGCUUCUGAAGAUGCUUAAGCACGGUACUGUUCGAAUUGAAGUUGCCACUUUUCUUGUUUUUUUCCACCCAUAUUCAUUCGAGUGUGUUCACAGUCUUUUCCUAAUUUAAUGUUUAGAGGGUUUUUCGACUCUCCCCUUCUAUAUUACCAACGAAUUUGGAUGGUUUUGCUCGGUUUUAGGUUUAGGGUGUUGGAUGUGGUUUAGGUUAUUGGUAAUUGAUUGUGAAGCUUUAAAUGAACUCCCCGUUUAUGUAAUUUCCACUUCAAUGUGCUUAAUAGGAAGAGCUGGGGUUCCCAUGGAGGUGAUGGGUCUGAUGUUGGGGGAAUUUGUUGACGAGUACACCGUGCGCGUGGUCGAUGUAUUUGCUAUGCCGCAAAGUGGUACGGGUGUUAGUGUCGAAGCUGUUGAUCAUGUAUUCCAGACCAAUAUGCUUGACAUGCUUAAACAAACUGGACGGUAAUUUUAUUUACUUAUAUUGCUUGAGAUUUGUAAUGACUACAUUUGCUGGAUCUUAAAGGUUAAGUUGCUGAAAAUGAAACUUUAGAUGCUGAAAGAAACAGCUCCUUUUUUUAAAUUUUAGUUGUAUGUCCCCGCCUGUAGUGACUGGGAGGGCUUGUGCUGUCCAGUGCGUGUUUAAUCUUUGGAAUAGAUCUGAUUUUAGCAUAAGAUUUACAUAGGUUUACUUAAAUUUCAUUGAAAUCUAUUAUCUAUGAAAAUGGAUAUUUUAGAGGAUCCCAGGAUGGUCGAACUCUAGCCAAGAAUUUUUUUUUGACAAUCUCUGUUGAACAAUAUGCGCUUCGGAGGUAUUUUAGUUAGCUGGGCUGCAAUUUUCUUUUCUAUUUGUACCGCUGGACCUUUGUUUGUCCAGAAUCAUUUCUCAUUCUGAUUUCAACUCUUUACUUCUCUUAGGAAAUUAUUCCCUGAAUGUGGACUCAACUCAUUUUAGUUUUAACAUCAUUCCCGUUUUCAUGGAGCACCACUCACUAUACUAUCUUCUUUUAUAACCAUUUAUUUGGUUGUGCACCUUGUUUCAUUUGAAAGACUCUCCAUUUUUGGGCGUCUCUGACUCUCUACAUUAUAUUUUCUUUAGCUUUGGUUUGGUUUGGGUAUGUCAGUUGACAUUUUCAACAAAUGAAGGUAUGGUGAGAAUGAAAUAAAGUAAUGAGUUCAUGGAUGUCAGUCCUCACUACACAUGACCUCUAUUGUUUUCAUCCCAGGACCCCCCCCCCCCCCCAACCCCGACCCCAAACCAUGAUUGCUUGUUUGAACAAACACUUUCGCGUUGUCCCUAGCAUUUGUAGAUUCUGAUAGUACUCCUAUUAGGCUACACGAGGAGGCGUCCGAGGAAAAAUUGGUGGUGAAUUGAACAUCUUCUGUAAUUAGUUUAUUAAGUGAUCCCAUGAGAUUAUGUAGCUACCAUGGACAAACGGAAGGGGGAAGGGUAGGAGUAGGCCUUGUGAUUUGAGAGUGUUUUGGAGGAUAGGGGAAGCCCCUGUUUUCUUCCCCUGUUCAUGUAUCUAUAUUGAUAGAUAGAUCCAGCAUUAUCAGAGUCCAGCCUUUUACACUUCAAUUGUACCGAAGAGUUAAGAUUGAACUCAUUAUUGACUUAUAAUCUUCUGCUGCCUUUUACCUUGAAUGCUAACCAUGUAUUUUUUUUGUUCAGUCCUGAGAUGGUUGUAGGAUGGUACCACUCUCAUCCUGGAUUUGGUUGUUGGCUGUCUGGUGUCGACAUCAACACUCAACAGGUUUGUAGUUUUUAAACAGCCUCCAUUUUACAUAUUGUUAUGCACCUCAUUGUUGAAUCUUUCUCGGGGUGAUUGCCAUUUCUUUUUCUUGUAUAAUAUUCUUCUCUCUGGAAUUUUAUAAUUUUGUAAUAAUUUUUUUUACUGAACAUUUUAUUUUAUUGGGUCAAGGAGGUCUUCCAGCUAGGAAAAAAUGUAAUGAAGAUUUGCAAUUGAGAUUCUAAUGUGAUAUGCGCUUACUUGUCUUCAUUUGUAGAGUUUUGAAGCUCUUAAUCAGCGAGCUGUUGCUGUAGUUGUGGAUCCAAUCCAGAGUGUCAAGGGAAAGGUGGUUAUCGAUGCCUUUCGUCUAAUUAAUCCCCAGACAAUGAUGCUUGGUCAAGAACCACGUCAAACAACAUCAAACCUCGGCCAUCUUAAUAAGCCAUCUAUUCAAGUGAGUGUUGAACAAAUACUUUUAAAUAAUUCUUGCUUUCAUGCCACUGACUCAUACGAUUGAUUUCAGGCAUUAAUCCAUGGAUUGAAUCGCCAUUAUUACUCUAUUGCAAUUAACUAUAGGAAAAAUGAACUUGAGGAGAAGAUGUUGCUUAAUCUUCACAAGAAGAAAUGGACUGAUGGCCUAACACUUCAACGAUUUGAUACACACUCGAAAACUAAUGAGCAGACUGUCCAGGUAAGCAUGUCUUUUAUGUUUUAACCUUCUAGAGGUUGCAUCUCUUCUUGCAAUAUCGAAUAAAAUGAAUAAAAUGAGUUUCUUGCGUUGCCAAACAAUUCAAUUGCUCUCUAAUUGUACUUAUCUAAUAAAGAAAGUGCUGUGAUCAAUUAACUUGACGAUUCACUUUUCACAGCUAACCUCGAUAAAAUUGUAUUUCAUUGUGCAUAAUCUUUGUUGUGAUUAAGGAUUUGUUAUAUACCGUGCAGGAAAUGCUGAACUUGGCUAUCAAGUACAACAAGGCAGUACAAGAGGAAGAUGAGUUGCCACCAGAAAAACUUGCAAUUGCAAACGUGGGAAGGCAAGAUGCUAAGAAGCACCUGGAAGAACAUGUCUCCAAUUUGAUGUCAUCGAACAUCAUACAGACAUUAGGAACAAUGCUCGAUACAGUUGUGUUCUAAUCGAACUAUGGUCGUUAAAGAACUCUACAUCCCCUGCCAGGAACAUUCAGAAGAUUCUUCAUUCAAAGUUGCAGGGUGUCUGACUGUUAAAAACAAGUUAAAUAGUGCUUAAAAACUCUUCCAUUGCUAAGAAUUCCUGCCUGUGUUUCACUUUCAUUACAUUAAUGUUUUAUUGGAUCUUAGAAUGAGAGGUGGUUUCGUUUUUACAGGACAACUAUUGGUUUCAAUGCUUGGGAUGUGAAUGAAAAAGAUAGUGUUCAUAAUUUGGACCAUUGUGUAAAUGUAUGAAAUUUCCUCAAAACAUAAUAAUCAAAAUAUUUUUCAAUCCGAAAAAUAUUCAUAGAAAAUAAAUAUAAUAAUCAAAAUAAUAAAAAAACAUUUUCAAAUAUCUAUAAAAAUAUUCAUACAACACAAAUAUGAUAAUCUAUCUGUCAUUUUAAUCAAUCCUUUAAUUUGAUGAUAAAUUUAAUAGAGAACGUUACAUUGGUAUUUGCAAACUUAUUAACUAACUUCGUCUUAUGGUAACUUUAUUUUUCUCUUAGUAUAUAUUUUUACGAAUAUUAAAUAAGUCAUUUUUUUACAUCAUUCUUCACAUUCAUAGAAUAACUUUAUUGUAGUAUUUAUCUGCAUUCAUACAAACUUAUAGAAGUUUAAUGUUUAUUAUUUAUAUAAUAUAAAAUUUUGUUAUAUUUUUAUUUAAAUCCGUUUUGUAAUUUAUAGUGAUUUUUUUUUAAAAAAGGAAAACAAUAAAUUUAUGUAAAAGUACAAGGGGCAUAAUUGCCAUUUUGAUAAGACGUUUUCCCAUCUCCCGCAAUCACCAUUUUUAAGAACCAGACGAGGGAAGUCUUGUUGCCAAAGAAACUAGAAGUCUUACAUUCCCGGCCGCCGGAAAGAUCGACGCUGAGGGAAAGCUUUACGAAUGGAGCGGCUACAGAGAAUGUUCGCCGGUGCCGGAGGUUCAUUGGGGCACCCACCGCCGGACUCGCCCACUCUUGAUUCGUCGGAGCAGGUCUACAUCUCAUCCCUCGCGCUUCUGAAGAUGCUUAAGCACGGUACUAUUCGAAUUGAAGUUGCCGCUUUUCUUGUUUCUUAGAUUCCUAUUCUUUCGAAUGUGUUCACAAUCUCUACUAAUUUAAUGUUGAGAGGUCUUGUCGACUCUCCCCUUCUAUAUUAUCAACGAAUUUGGAUGGUUUUGCUCGGUUUUAGGUUUAGGAUGUUGGAUGUGGUUUAGGUCAUUGGUAAUUAAGAUUGUGAAGCUUCAAAUAAACUUCCCGUUUAUCUUAUUUCCACUUCAAUGUGCGUUAUAAUAGGAAGAGCUGGGGUUCCUAUGGAGGUGAUGGGUCUGAUGUUGGGGGAAUUUGUUGACGAGUACACCGUGCGCGUGGUCGAUGUAUUUGCUAUGCCGCAAAGUGGUACGGGUGUUAGUGUCGAAGCUGUUGAUCAUGUAUUCCAGACCAAUAUGCUUGACAUGCUUAAACAAACUGGACGGUAAUUUUAUUUACUUACCGUAAUGACUACAUUUGUUGGAUCUUAAAGAUUCAGUUGCUGAAAAUGAAACUUUAGAUCCUGAAAGAAACAGCUCCCCUUUUUAAAUUUUAGUUGUAUGUCCUCGCCUGUGGUGACUGGGAGGUAUUGUACUGUCCAUUGCGUGUUUAAUCUUUGGAAUAGACCUGAUUUUAGUAUAAAACUUACAUAGGUUUACUUAAAUUUUAUUGAAAUCUAUGAUCUAUGAAAAUGGAUAUGUACAGGAUCCCAGGAUGGUUGAACUCUAGCCAAGAAAAUCUUUUGACAAUUUCUCUGUUGCACAAUAUGCACUUUGGAGUGAUUUUAGUUGGCUGGCCACCAAUUUUUUUUCCUGUUUUUUCCUCUGGGCCUUUGUUUGUCCAGAAUCAGAAUCAGAAUCAUUUCUCAUGCUGAUUCCAACUCUUCUCUUAGGAAAUUAUUCCCUGAAUGUGGGCUCAAUUCGUUUUAAUUUUAAUAUCAUUCACAUUUUCAUGGAGCACCACUCACUAUACUAUCUUCUUUUAUAACCAUUUAUUUGGUUGUGCACCUUGUUUCAUUUGAAAGACUCCCCAUUUUUAGACGCUUCUCCAUCAUUUUUACUUUUGGUAUGUCAAUUGACAUUUUCAUCAAAUGAAGGUAUAGUUAGAAUUAAAUAAAGUAAUGAGUUCAAUCAAGGAUAUCUAUUGUUUUUGCUUUGUUUUUGGCUUGCUGCCUUGCUUUAUCAUUUUUUUGGCCUUGUACUGUGGCAUUUACUUUGUUAUUGUUCUGUUGUAUUGAUUUUAUUUAACCUACUAUGUGGGUUUUUAUUUUCGCUUAUGGAUGUGAUGAGGGCGCUAAAGGGGGGUGUCAACCUAGUUGAGAUGCUUGGGUGCGCCCGCUGAUCCUCCCCCUUCCCCUUUGCUCUUUGUAUGUCCCUCAUGUACUUUGAGCUUUGUCUCUCUAUUUCCAUUAUUAAUAAUAUUGAGACUCGUUUCCUUUUUUUUUAAAAAAAUAAAGUAAUGAGUUCAUGUCUAUGAGCUAAUGGAAGGGUAAGAGUAGGCCUUGUGCGGAGCUACAUUUUUGCUCGUCUGUGAUUUGAGAGUGUUUUGGGAGAUAGGGGAAGCUUCUCGGUUCUUCCCUUGUUCAUGUAUCUAUAUUGAUAGAUGAAUCCAGCAUUAUUAGAGUCCAGUCUUUUCUACUUUAAUUAUACUGAAGAAUGAAGAUUGAACUCGUUAUAGACAUAUAAUCUUUUACUGCCCUUUACCUCUAACUUUAACCAUUUAUUUUUUGCCUUCAGCCCUGAGAUGGUUGUGGGAUGGUACCACUCUCAUCCUGGAUUUGGAUGUUGGCUCUCUGGUGUCGACAUCAAUACUCAACAGGUUUGUGGUUCUAAAACAGCCUCGAUUUUUCGUAUUGUUAUCCACCUCAUUGUUAAUCAUUUUAGGGGUGAAUUCCUUUUCUUUUUCUUGUACUAGUAUAUUCUUAUUAUUUUGAAAUAAUUUUUUACUGCACAUUUUCUUUGAUUGGGUGGUCUUCCAGCUAAGGAAAGAGUGUAAUGUAGAUUUGCAAAUGAGAUUAUAAUGUGAAAUGUGCUUACUUUUGUCAUCGUUUGCAGAGUUUUGAAGCUCUUAAUCAGCGAGCUGUUGCUGUAGUUGUGGAUCCAAUCCAAAGUGUCAAGGGAAAGGUGGUUAUCGAUGCCUUUCGUCUAAUUAAUCCUCAGACAAUGAUGCUUGGCCAAGAACCUCGUCAAACAACUUCAAACCUCGGCCAUCUUAAUAAACCAUCUAUUCAAGUGAGUAUUGAACAUUCUUACCUAGAAAGUGAGUGUUAAACAUUCUUACCUAGAAAGUGAGUGUUGAACAAAUACAAUCAAAUCAUUAUUGCUUUCAGUUCCACUGACUCGUAUGAUUGUUUUCAGGCAUUAAUCCAUGGAUUGAAUCGCCAUUAUUACUCUAUUGCAAUUAACUAUAGGAAAAAUGAACUUGAAGAGAAGAUGUUGCUUAAUCUUCACAAGAAGAAAUGGACUGAUGGCCUAACACUUCGACGAUUUGAUACACACUCGAAAACUAAUGAGCAGACUGUCCAGGUAAGCAUGUCUUUUUUGUUUUAACCUUCUAGAGGUUGCAUCUCUUCUUGGAAUAUCGAAUAAAAUGAGUUUCUUGCGUUGCCAAACAAUUCAAUUACUCUCUAAUUGUACUUAUCCAAUCAAGAAAGGGCUGUGAUCAGUUAUCCCGACAAUUUACUUUUACAGCUAACACCGAUAAAAUUGUAUUUCAUUGUGCAUAAUCUGUGUUGUGAUUUAUGGGUCUGUUAUAUACCGUACAGGAAAUGCUGAACUUGGCUAUCAAGUACAACAAGGCAGUACAAGAGGAAGAUGAAUUGCCACCAGAAAAACUUGCAAUUGCAAACGUGGGAAGGCAAGAUGCUAAGAAGCACCUGGAAGAACAUGUCUCCAAUUUGAUGUCAUCGAACAUCAUACAGACAUUAGGAACAAUGCUCGAUACAGUUGUGUUCUAAUCAAACUAUGGUCAUUAAAGAACUCUACAUCCCCUGCCAGAAAACACUCCGAGGAUUCUUCGUCCAGAGUUGCAGGGUCUGUGAUUGUUAAACGCGUUUGUUUUAAACUCUUUGUCCUGCCUGUCUUUCACUUUCAUCACAUUAAUAUUUUAUUGGAUCUUAGAACGAGAGGUGUUUUCGUUUCUACACGACAGCAAUUGGUUUCAAUAUGCUUGGGGAUGUGAAUGAGAAGAUAAUAGUGUUCAUAAUCCAUCAGUUGAGUAUAGUAGCUAAAACAGAACAAAUUUGAAGCUUUAAUCUUGGUUAAGGAAGAAAGCCAAACGUUUGAGAAGGGCUUUGGCUUUCUCGGAAGAUGGGUUUAACAUAUGAAAUGCAUGGUCCUCACCUUCCGUCUCAUAAAACUCCACUUUCCCUUUCCACUCACUGUUCGCAAGAGUUUCAUAGUAAAGCUUCCCUCUUUCCCUCAGGAUGUCUUUCCCUGCAACGAUAACCAGCACCCUCUCACCGGCGAGGCCAUCGAUCGCAGGUGACCCAUCGGAGAAGGGAUUGAUGAGGAGAUCGUCAUUUCCUCUAUCCGAUGGGCAGACAAAGUUCCACCAACUAUCCACCUCUGCUUUUUUGUGAUGCUCAGUGAUCUCCGAUCCAAUGGGCUCCUGUCCCCAGAAGUAUGGUUGAAUUAGGGCGAUUCCUACAAUUUUGAUUUUGGCGCCCAGGUUCGAGUUUUUGGCUCGCAGGGCCAUGUGGUGGCAGAUGUUUCCACCCGCACUGUCACCUACCAAGAACACCUGUUCAAAUAAUAUAAUUUAGCCUUUCUAAUUUAUUGCACCUUAAUUAAUUGAGAUAUGUAAUAUUGGAAAGAAAAAAAAUAUACUCUUUUGUUUCCUGUUUUGAUGAACAGGUGCAUUUAGUUAAUAAGUUUUCAAAUUAUCUGUUUUAAUCUUUCAAUUUUAAAGAAUAGGUUUAAAAGUUCUUUUUCCAAAGAAUAGGUGCAUUUAGUUCUUUUCUCUCUUCUCUUCCUAUUUCUUUCUCCUUUUCUUCAUCCUUUCUCUCUGUCUCUACUCCAUCUCCAUCACAGAUUUUUUUAAAAAAAAUUUCAAAACAAUCUCAUUGAAAUGUUGAUUGGCUUUUGGGUUAAAACACUUCAAUGAGUUAAAUCACAAAGACUUCCACUCCCAGCCCCACCCUCAACUCUUCCCUGCAGAAAACAAAAAUGAGUAGAAAAACUUCUAGUGCAUAUGUUCAAAUAGUUGAAAGAAAAACGAAAUUCAUAAGGUGUCGAAUUCCAAUUAGCUUCAAGUUGAACUGAAUUUGAUUGAUUCUAAAUCAUGUUGUGCGGAAACGAAAAAACAAACACAAGCUACACCACUUCAAAUAUGGGGUUUAAGGUAUAAGCAACUGUGAUUCACUACAAGUGAAAAAAUGAGACGAGUCAAGAUGAAGAAAGAGUAAAGAAAAACCAUGGGCAAACAAAAAUGUUUUCUAAGAAUAUUUUUCAACCAUUAAAUAGUAUAACAUUGAAGAAGUAAACUUAAAAAAACCAGCCAUAAGUUCCAAACAUGUUAUCUAAAAUUGCAUUUCAACCAAAAAGAAAAUAACUUUUGUUAUGAACUUUAUUUUUCUUUACAAUGAUCAAUAAUUACUCGGUUAAACCUUUUAAUAUCACUUCCCUUUUAAUUAAUGACGGCUUCCUUUCUUUAAAAAAAAUGAUAUUAGUAUACACUAAAAUUUAAAAUUUAAAGAUCCGUUAAACAUACUUUUCAGAAAAGAAAAAUAAAAACAGUAAUAAUUGGACACUGUGGAAUGAAAAUUGAACCUCUCAUUCUAAAUUCAGUUUAUCAAUUAUACAAAGUUACUUUUUAGUUGGCUAAAACUAAAAUCACUUUUAAUAAAAUAUUAUUAAUUUCAAAAUACCUUUAUUUUUUCAUUAAACAAUUUAAUAUAUAAAUCUAAUUUUAAUUUUAAGUUGAAGUUUGUUUAAUUUUAGUUUCUAUAUUUUUAAUUGUAUAAUUUUAAUCUAGAUACAUUUAAUAAAUCUUAAAACUAAUUCUUAACGUGCUAGUUUAUUGUUUUUUUUAAGAAAAAUGCUAUUUAUAACUUUUUAAUAUAACUUUUAAAAAUAUACUAAAAGAAAAAAUCAGUGUUAUAAAUAAAGAGUCUAAAAUUGCACAAAGAAUUUGCAAAAAAUAAAAAAAAUGAGAAAUGAACAAAAUAUUUAGAGUUCAUAAAAAAACUGUAUGAUAAAUUUUGUUAAUGUAAAUAGUUUGUUUGUUUGUUUUUUAAAAUUUUUGAAAAAACCCUAAGAAAACAAUAUUUUAACCUAAUAUAUUACUAAGGUUAUAGGAGGGAGUUUGAUUCUAACUAACAAUACCUUCUCAAAAUCAACUAGCUCUUUAAGCCAAGGCUCAUGCCCGGGCUCAUCGGCGGAGGACUUCGACUGAGCGGCAAUCCACUGCAGCGCCGCCCAAGAAUCGUCAUAAGCGGCGGGAAGAGGAUGCUCCGGCGCUAAUCUAUAGUUGACCGAGAGGAGGACGGUUUGGGCCUCGGCGGCAAGCGGGAUAAGACAAUUGUUAUGGUAAACAGGUUCAGCACUGGAGGCUACAAGAAACGCACCGCCGUGAAAGUAAACAACCAAUGGAAGUUUCCGGCCAGGGUCUACGGCGGUGGGACGGUAAAGCCGAGCUGAGACGCCGGUAUCGGGAACGAUAACGAUGUCUUUAGAGUGAACUCCUGUGCGAGAAUCGAGGCCAGGGGGAGUGACACGUGUCCCGAGAAGCCUCUCAACGACGCCGUUUUUGUAGAGUCGAAGGUAAGGAAGAAGCUCGACAUCCAGCUCGGGGUUGUUUAAGUCUGUAGCCAUUUGAGGUUAAAAAAAGAUAAGACUGUGCUGAUAAUUGAAAUAAUUGAUUGGAAAAAGAAGGGAAAAUGAAGAGGUUUGAUUUGAAAUUAUCAUAUAAUUGGUGAAGAGAUAUAUGUCAAACUCUAUCCUUUAUAAUUUCAAAUGUUCACCAUACAUGUAUAGCAAUUAACAACUAACCAUAUGGUUGCUGCAAUGCAGAUGACUACGACUCAUCAAUGCCACUAGAGUUGUGCAAGACUUUAAUUUGAAGUUAUUUAGUUGUGAAAAUGUUAGUAGAGACUUAAUAAAUUAUUGAAUUGAUGUUUUAUAGUUGUGUGCGACCCACAAAGUAUUUGACUCAAACAAUGGGUUUGAUAACAACGCUGCCUUAAAUUUCUAUUCCACUAGCCAUACAACAACGAAUAUUAGGAAUGAUCUCAAGUAACAAUCAUCUUACUACUUUUCAAUCCAAAUAUACUUUUUAACUAGUAAUUAAACUUCGUGUGUAAAUUUUUUAUUGAAAACAAAAUUCGUAAAAGAAUUUAAGUGCAUCUCGAGUUGCAUCUAUCUUUGUACAUCUCACUACUAAUUCAUAACUUGUGAUAUAAUAUAUAUAUUUUUUGUUUAAAAAAAUAAAAUAACAAAAUAAAUUAAAAUAUUUACCUGCUAUAACUAUCAAUGAUAGUCACCGUAAAUUCUUUUUUUUUGUAAAAUUUGAUAUUUUAAAAAUUUUUCUUAAAGAUUAGAGGGUACAAGCAUGAUUUUUAAAUUUACUACUUUUUCAUCGAUUUAGAAAAGGUAGACAUAGGCUAUAUUAGGAAGCGUCCUCAAGGAAAAACAAGUCCUUGCUUGCUUACAAAAAAGAAAAUUGAACAAAUGAAAAACGUAUAUACACACAGUCAAACAUGAUUAUUAAAGAACAAUGAGAGAGAUUCUGAUCCAGGGAAAAAGAAUGAGGAACAAAUAUGGAUGGAAGAAAACAUAUAUUGAAUCAAACCAAUCAAUCUUCUGAAAUUUCUUGGCAAUUAGAAGAUCUGAUCUGAAGUUGCUGAGACGUGAGGGAGAUCAAAGAUUGAAUCUUAGCAACAGCAGAUGAUUUCUCAGGUGGGCAUUUCGAAAGAGAAACAUUCAACGAAUGAAGAGCCUCGUCAAGCUUACCAACGGUUAAUGCUUUACAACCUGCCUUGUAAGCUCCAUCCGCCAUUCGAACAUCAUACUGACUUCUUGAAUUCGCACUAGGUUCCUCAUCCUCUGGCUCAUCGGGAGAUAUUGGAGAUUCUAAAUACGCAGUGGUUCGAGCAUAUUCUAAAUUUGAAAUUGCAGCACCGAUCUCCCCCAUUAGAGCUUCAGGAGUCUUCGUUGUGGUCUUCACACUGUCAAACACAUUCCAAGCGGCGAUUCCUCCUUCUGAGUUCACACUCUCCCUUUCUUGACUCUUAUGCCUAUUUCGUUGAGGCAUUUUCACAAACACCUACUCAAUGUCUUUCUUGAUUCUUGUGCUAAUUUCGUUGAGGCAUUUUCACAAACACCUAGUCGAUGUCUUUCUUGAUUCUUAUGCUAAUUUCGUUGAGGCAUUUUUACAAGCACCUUGCUGUCCUCAAACUGAUAUGGAAUCGAAUCGAUUUUUGGAAGAAGUCUGUCGCGCUGAACUUCAAUUACGAGCCCGAUAUUUCCUUGCGUCUAAUUCGAUCUUCUCAUCCUGCGAAAUUUCAUAUCGAUUUAUGAACUCAACGGAUUCUAUCAACAGCAUUGAAUAACAACGCAAACAGCCAAUCAAGAACAAGCACGAUCAAUGAUACUAAACCGCCAUGUCAACAAAACCGGAGUUGUGAAUGCGGCAUCGGAAAUCGAUACAAUAUCAGAAUUAAUGGCAAAAUAAUUGAAUCCAAAAUCCCUACUGUCAUCCCAAAAAGAAAGAAAUAGGGAAAGAAAAGGAAACUCACCAGUUAAUCGGAGAGCAGCCAGCCGCUUUCAUCGACGUUUUCAACUUUAAUCCGAGUCCGAUCAACUAGUUCUUUGAAGAUGAAUUUUCUGAGCUUUAAUCCAUUACAAGGAUUUUGAACUUUGAACAAAGUGCAGUAAUAAAGAAAAGAGUGCAAAUUAGAUAUUAAACUGAUUAUAGUUGAAAUACAUGUUUGUCCUUUUCUUUGGGGGUGCAAGUUUACUAAAAUAUGUUUUGGCUAUUCUUUUUUCCUGCCUUGUGUACUUUCUAAUGUUUUAAGAGAUUGUUGGACCCCUAUCAAUUGUUGGAUCAUUGAGGGUUUGGAUCGUAUGUCACGACCUUCCUUCUAUGGGAUGUGUGGAACUAUAAAAAUUUGAUUGAUUAUUGCGACUAGUUCUCGAACAAAAUAGCACUGUUUGACAGAGUUUUAUGAGCUCGAUAGGCCAAGACCUCUCUUUGGGAGAGUUUGGUUUCUGUCCGAUUAUGAUAGCUUGAAGCUCAAUUUUGAUGCUUUGUGGAAUGAUUGUGAUUUUUUGAGUUCUCUUCUUAUUGUUUGUUGUGAGAGGAUCUUUUUCGGUUGGUCCAUCCAUAUUUUGGAAGCUCGAUCUUGUUAUGGUUAGAGGUUUGCAUCCCUCAUUGGUUAUCUUGAGGAUUACCCCUAGCUAUCAUGAAGUUUGAUUGUUCUUUCGAGAUCCUAUCAUUAUAUGUAUUCUAUAAUUUAUCGAUGCACUUAAAAUAAAAUUUAGUCAUACUUUUGUAGUAACCACAAAAAAUAGACAAUGAUAUAACACACAUUUGCUCUCACAAUUUUUAUAUUUAAAUAUCUAUCCCGCUAUUAUAGUUUUCUUAGUUGAUAGGUUUAAAAAAUAUUAACGCGUUAUCAAUAUAUAUAUUUUUUAAAAUUUUCAAACAUAUAUCUAAUAUAUUAUGUAUUGUAAACAUCUUCAACUUUUAAAAUUCAAAUGUUAAUUAAAAAAAAACAUUAUUUAUAUUUUUUUUAAAGAAUAACAACAAUUAUCAAAGUUUGUAUAAAUAUUUUGUCUAUUUUAUUAACUAUUUUUGACGCGCAACCAAAUUUAACAAAAAAAAUUCCAAUUUUAUCCUAAAAAUUUGGUUGACUUAAAAUUUUAAAAUAUCUAACUAAUUAAACAUAAAAUUAUAACGCUUCUAAACUUCAAAAACCUAUUAGAAGUUUAAAAGUUAUGUACUCAAUAACUUAUUAAAUAAAAAUUUAGAAUUUUAUCAACUAAAAUUAAUUUAAUAUAUACAACUUAGAUAUACUUUUCCCAAAUUAUAAAUUAUAUUAUUGGGUUAGCAUGGAGCGCUGCCGUAUGGGAUAAGGGCUCGAUCGGUGGCGACUGGCGAGCGCUUUGUCUUUUGAUGGCAAAGAACAAUUCAUAUCAUACGAUAACGACACAUUCCAAUAAAGGGCAAAAAAGGCAAAAAAAAAAAAAGACGCAAUCAGUAAGUAUGGCCGGCCACGAGCGGCACGUGACGUGGAAAACGGAACUCGUAACGGGAAGUCAGUCCCAGCCAAAUAAUUAAUUUUACUCAUUCCUUAAUAAAGUUUGAAAUCAUUAUCAAAAUUAAUUAUUUUCGUCCUCAUCCAUCCACCCUAAUUAAGAUGGUUUGGUUGGUACUCAAAAAUAAAUAAAUAAUAAUAAUGUUUGAUCAUUUUUCUUAAUUUGUCAACAAAUCAGCUUUUUUUUUUUUUGUUAUUUAUUAUUAUUAUAUAGUCAACAAUUAAAGAAAUAUAGCAAUUUUAUAUGUACACGUAACUUUUAGAUUAGGCAUUAAUUAGCUAUUAGCCAACGUUUUUCCAAGUUCGAAGUUUUGAAUUUAGGCAAUAAUACAAGAUUUUGAUUGUAAUUUGCUCAUUAGGUUGGGAAGCUUUUGUUUGGAGAAACUUCACAACGUAAUGGGUAUUGAAUUAUUCUCUUGCUUUUAUUUAAAAAAAAAUUGAUAAUAUAAAAUCACAUUGUGUUAAGGAAUUUAAUUUAAAUAGUAAUUGUUUUUCUUUUUUACAACCAACAAUUAUGUGAAUGGUCACCGAGGAACAUCCAAUCUUACGGUAGAAAAGCAUAUCAAUUAAUGUUAAGUUAAUGCAUAAAAUGGAGUACACAUGACUGACAUGUUAUAUUUAUUACGAUAAUGAAGGUUUAAAUUAUCGUACUUUACCCAACAAAAAUGUAAAAAAUAAAAAAGAAAAAGAGUUAAACACUAUAACUUUGAGUUGACAAAUAUUUUUGGAGUGUGGUUGAGUUGACUCGUGUGAUUGUCCAUGAUAGAAUACAUAUUUAAUGCAAACUAACGACAUAUAAUAGUUUUUAUGAGGUUCCAUAUGAAGAGUGGAAUUAGAUCUCACUAACAUUUAAAUAAGUGGUAGUUUUAUCACUCAAUACUGCUCACUUUGAGGUUGACAUUAUCCGAAUCGAGAUAGAUACUUUUUUACCUCCACUUUAUUUCCAUCUAUAUAUACCUAUCAAGAUAAGUAUAAUAAAAAGUGGUACUCACUCUAAAUUUGACACUCUCACUCUCGUAAAAAUGACAAGUCACAUUCUUUAAUUUUCUUAUUUUGGUCUAUUUCUCCAUUCAAUUUGUUAUUUUUGUGAAAUUUAGUAUAGUUUUAAAACAUAAAAAAAACAUAUUAUAGAAUUUAAAUAGUAUCAAAAUAUUUUUAAAUAAAAAAAAUAAAACAUUCGACAAAAUUUUUAUUUUUAGUAAUUUGUUAUAUGGGGUGAAUAGUUUGUUAAUAUCUUUUUUUUUAUAUUUAAGAAAAAAUCUCAUAGAAAAUAAACCACCAAUUUAAAAUUAGAUUUGAACUGUGAAUAUUAGGAUAAUCACUAAAAAAAACUAGGUUUCAAGUAGCCACGUAAGAAUGGAUACAAUCAAAUCGAACCUAUUGUUUCAAAGAUGCAAAAUUAUAGUAAUAACUACAGAUUAAGUUCACUCUCACAUAUUUUAUUCAAAUAACUUAAAACAAAAUCCUAUCAACUAAAUUUAAGUUUCGUUUCAAAAACUAUAAAGCAAAUAAUUUUUUAAUUAAUUUUCAUUUAAUUUUUGAUUACCUAUAACUAAGCGUUUUCUUUAGUAUAAAUGGAAUGAUAAUUUAGACCACAAACCACUUAAUCAUCAAACAUAUAUUAAUAGCAAUUGAGCUAAAAUAUUCUAUCUUUUUAAUUGUAUAUUAUUGAAUUAAAACAAAAAUAUUACGUGGAUUAGUAAAAAAAAGGUAAAUAAUUAGUGUAAUACAAAAACAACACUAUGUUAGAACGUUAAGGCAAAUACAUUUCCAUGUCAAUGGGGGAAAUUGCAAUCGUGGAAAUGACGUGGCACGAUUUCUUAGGCGAGACGCAGCGCAGUGGGGUCACUAACCAUUGAAUUUCAACAAAUAAUUAAAAUGAAAAUGUUAAGAGAACUUCGGAUUGCAAUUCUGGGCAAUUGCCUCCGCUUCUUCUACUUUAUUCGGUCACUAAAUUCUACAUAUUCCCAUUACAAUCCUCUUCAUCCUCCCGAUAUUUUUCAGGAGAAAAGCUUGAGGAAGACAAAACGACGAACUGAGUGGCUAGUGCUUCAUUAUCUGGAGCUGCAAGAUUUACAGGAUUUUGGAUUCGGAGGAGAAAGAUGUGGGGAUUUGGAGGAAGGUUUUACUGGGGAAGAAGAGAACGUGUCGGGAAAGUUGAAGGGAUUGUUGUGGCCUUCGCAUGGAUGUCUAGUCAGGAGAGGCACCUGAAACGAUAUGUGGAUAUGUAUUCCUCUCUGGGUUGGAAUUCACUCGUUUGCCAUUCUCAAUUCCUCAAUAUGUGAGUUCAACUUCCGAAUUUUACUUGUUUCUUUUUUCCGGUUUGAUUGUCAGAUUUGUAUACUGUUGUUAAAAUCUAUGAGCUACUACUAGAUACCGUAUGUGUUUGAAUUGCUUAAGAAAGACAAAUUUAUUUACCAGAUUCUAAAGAUUUCUAGCGGCUAGGCUAGUCUAGUCUUCAAAUUCCAUCUGCGUCUGUUGUAGUGUUCAUUUAACGAGUACACUUAGCGAUAUGGGAUCCAUUUGGGAGAUCGUUGAUACUAAAAGGGAAUUGGGAUAUUUGAUUUUGGAUUUCCAUUUUUUGUUGGCUGAAAAAUUGAAGACAUUAAUGCCUUGAUUCAUAUGGUAGUGGAUCUAAGGCUGGGUGGUUCUGAAGUUUGUUUUGCUUGAGAUUGUUUUCGUUUUUACUUCAGUAUGGGGUUUUGUUCCCUGCUAAGACGUUUGGAUGGCAAGAAAUGAACCCUUAGCUUUUAUAAUAAGCUACAUUGACUUUUUUUGUAUGUCUAAUUUUGAUGAACAUUUGGAGCAGGUUCUUCCCCGAUAAGGCUGCAUCUCUGGCAUUUGACAUUCUUAAAGAACUAAUCGAGGUUAGAACUUGGUACAAUUUUGAAGUGCGAAGUUAAAUUCGUUGUUCAAGUAUGAGCUAUCUAAAUAUGCUAUAAACUUGUGAUAUUUACUUUCAGGAGCUAAAAAUAAAGAGAUGCCCCAUAGUAUUUGCAUCUUUUUCUGGUGGGCCUAAAGCAUGCAUGUAUAAGGUUCUCCAGGUGAGCUCUGUCUUAUUUUUCUAUUAUAAUUUGCUUAAACCACAAAGGGGGGAGGACGAUCAACUCUUCUCUCACAUUUGCCUUUCAUAUCAUGGCAGAUUAUCGAGGGAUAUCAUGAAUCGCAACAACAUAGUUCGGUAAAAUUUAUUCUUUGUUGUUUAAUCUUUCUUCAAAGAUGUCAUCCUAUCACAUGAGAGGAACCCAUAUGGUUUUCCCUGAAAAUUUUCAAUUGGUUUAUGUUAAACUCUGGCUAUAGGAUGAUUAUCAACUGGUCAGGGACUGUGUUGCUGGCUAUAUUUAUGAUUCCAGUCCAGUUGAUUUUACCAGCGACUUGGGAACUCGAUUUAUUCUUCAUCCAACUGUGAUGAAAGCAUCCCAACCACCAAGAAUAGCGUCAUGGGCAGCACAUAACAUUGCUUCCGGUCUUGAUGCACUCUUCCUCAACAGAUUUGAAUCUCACCGUGCAGAAUAUUGGCAAACUCUUUAUGCCUCAGUUGUAAGGAAUUUAAUAUUUACUGCUUUCAAUUCAUUUCAAAUCAGCAAGAUUUAAAUUCACCAAACAAUGCUCGAAUGCAGAGUAUGAAAGCUCCUUAUCUUAUUUUGUGCUCGGAAGAGGAUGAUCUUGCUCCCUAUCAGACAAUCUUCAAUUUUGCUCAACGAUUACAAGAUCUUGGGGGAGAUGUUAAAUUAAUCAAGUGGAAUGGCUCCCCACAUGUAGGUUUGUUCCUAAACUUCUGCAUUCUGUAUGUAUAGACGUUGAUCUUCUCUAUUAGAGUCUGUGUUAUAGAAUAGCAAUACACUAUUGUCCUCUUGGUCAUUUGUGAUUGGAGUUGGUGGCACACACGUUAUCAAAGUGUGCAAGUAAUUUGCAGUAAUAUUUCUGUUUUUUUCUAGCCAACAAUUCUGUCGGUAUUAUACCGGGUUUGAAACCUUGUUUUCUGAUUGUACGUUGUAGGGCAUUAUCUGCAUUUUCCCAUUGAAUAUAGAGCUGCUGUCACGGAGUUGCUAAGUAAGGCCGCUGGAGUUUACUGUCAAAGAACUAGACCCAAUGAAGAAGUAACUGCCGUAGAUAAAAUGAAUUGUGACUCUUGCAAUACAACACCCGACGUUAGAAAAGCUGCAUCUCCAUCAAGUAGUUUUCGAGACUCUGCUCUUGCUCCAGACGACCAUCUUCUCUUCUCCAGUGCGAUGGACGGCUUUGACUAUAGAAUCAUAGGAUCCAUGCGCGAUGAACACAUGGAAGGAGUAAUGCGGCUAUCUAACACGCCGAGUACCAUUCCUCAUGGAGUUCUCGGUCAAAUCCUUUACGAUGCUUGUGUUCCAAAGAACGUUGAGGAUUGGGAUAUUGGAUCAUCAAGUUCUUCAAAAGCUGUCUUGCGUGAGCACACGCGGCGACAUACCUCCUUCAAUCCCAUCAAACUGAUGCGUCGUUCGAGACUGUAGCCAUUCAUCACGAGAAAAGCCAAACUGAAACUCAUCUGUUGCCAUGCCAUCAAUUGCACGUCUUGCUUGAGAACAUGGCCACUGCCAUAAGUGCUGAGACAAGGAAUUAAUGGUUUCUUGAAAACUUUGACUAUUAGGAAACUUUGGACCAAGCAAGAAUGUAAAUGUAAAGCAGAGGUGCAGCAAUGCAGUCCCCACUGCAAAUUUGUAAAUCAAUGAGGAAAAACAUAGCCUUCAAAUGAAUAAAUGUUGAAAGAAACUGCCAUUUAAAAAAGAUUUAAAUAAAGUGGUAGAUAUUUUUAGCAGUGGCUACUGGCUUCUAUAAAAAAAGUAACAUCUAAAAAGACUAAAACUACCAACUUUGAGCACUUGUAAAAGAUUGCUAAUUACUACAAAUUCUCUUCCUUCACGUUUCACAGUAAUGUGUAAAUUUGUGUAGAGAUUUGAUAAUGUAGCGUAUAGGCAUAUAUAAUUCUCGGCAUUGUUAAGGCAUUUCAAGCUUUUCGGCAAGUUCAGUCGCUUUGCCUUCGUUGAAAGUAUGAAGAUUCUUGUUACUGGGGCAUCUGGGUAUCUAGGUGGAAGGCUGUGCCGUGCAUUAUUGAAUCGAGGCUUCUCCGUUAGGGCUUUGGUCCGUCCGACCAGCGACCUUUCUUCUCUUCCUCAUGAUCCUUCUGCUCUGGAGCUCGUUCAUGGCGAUAUCACGGAUUACCAGUCGCUUCUAGAGGCAUGCUCGGGCUGCCAUGUCGUCUUCCACGCGGCUGCAAUGGUCGAGCCGUGGCUUCCUGAUCCAUCGAAAUUCAUUUCUGUAAGUCCUUAGGUUUCGUCAAAACGUUGAUUGAAAUGAAAGUUUCCCGGAAAAUGUUUCAGACAUCUGGGUUUCGGCUGAGCUCAUCGGAUUUCUUUCAAAAUUUGACGAUAUAGUAAAUUAUCGGAUUGUUCAUGUUAGGUCAAUGUACGAGGGUUGCAGAACGUAUUGCAAGCGGUUAGAGAGACGAAGACAAUCGAGAAGAUUAUUUAUACGUCAUCCUUUUUUGCGCUUGGCUCAACUGAUGGAUAUGUUGCCGUUGAAAGCCAGGUAACCAUUAGGAUUUAAAUUUUCAGAAAAUUAUUCUUCCUCCUUGCUUUUGUGAUCCAUGAAUAAAUGCUGUUGACCUUCAUUGAUGUUUUCAAAUUUCUGUGAACGCGACUGUGAUGAUGGCAGGUUCAUCACGAGAAGUUCUUUUGUACAGAGUACGAGAAAUCGAAGGCCACUGCUGACAAGAUUGCAUUGCAAGCUGCAUCUGAGGGGAUUCCGAUAGUGCCGGUUUAUCCCGGAGUUAUCUAUGGUGUUGGAAAAGUCACGGCUGGGAAUGUUGUUGCUCGCAUGGUAAUGACUGCUUUUUCUCUCAUAAAUUUAUGUUGCCGCUUGUUCAAGUCAUUCAGUACUAGCUUAACCAUCAAAAGGUCUUUCAGUGGAAUAACACUCAAUUUGAAUUCAUAUCUUCAUUUUUGGUAGCAAAAUAAUCAUGGACAAGAAAAAUUAUAGUUGUUACGCUGGAAAUCCCGAGAUAAAUCACUUUUGACUGCUCAAAUGAGUUUUUAGACUGCUACUUCCUUCUUUUUGUUCUGAUUAUUCUUUAGAUUGAGGUUUACCCAACACGGACACUUUUGUAGUGAUGAUUAGGAUAGUACUUAGGUGCAUUCCCAGAUGGAUUUAUAUUCACUUAUCUCAUUUUUUAUGGUGACAAAUUAUAUUUGAACAAUUUCGUGGGAGGCAUAAAUAUGACACUGUGAAUAUUCUUUUAGACCACUUUUGAAACUUUAACCAAUUUUCUUACACAGUUUUUAGACCACUUUUGAAACUUUAACUAAUUUUCUUACACAGUCAAAGGUGAUUUAAAAAAAUUACAAAUUACACGAUCGCUUUUAAACACUUUAAAUACAUUUAAAAAGGUAUUUGGUGUUUUACUGCUAGAUAAAAUAUAAUACUCUUGAAAGAAAGACAUCUCUACUUUUUGUAAAAGGUUGCAAGUUUGAAACCCACUUGCUUGUGAUUUAGUAUUCUCAAGACUGUUAUAAAAGGUUAUUAGGAGCCCACUUUUCAUUUUUUUUUAAUGAAGUUCAUAAAAGCUUUUUAUAUCCUUUAGAGGAAUUUAUGAAGAAACCUGGUGAAUUAAUAAUUAAUGAGGCGGUUUAAUGCAUUAGCGAGUAUAUUAACAUUAUUAGCCUUUCUCCUAUACAUUGAGUUGAUUAUGUUAGGUAAUGAAAAAUUAGUUAGGUAAAAUAAAUCAUUUUUUAAAAAAAUACAAAAUAAAGAACAAAAAAGUUAGUGAUUGGAUACCUUGCAUGUAUCUCAAUUAAUCACAAUAGACAACCCUUAACUUUACAACGUUUGAGUUAUAAGAAAACUUGUAGAACCUUUAAAUCCUAAAUGGGUAACUAUCUAGGUUGAACCCAUUAAAUCCAAAGUCAUUUUAUUACACCCAUGACUCUUAUUAACCUCUAUGCCUAACCGUUACUUCUUUGGCUCUUUUUUCCCUCGCUUUGACCGGAUUAUUCUCUUCCCCUUCCCAUUCAUUCGCAUCUGUUAUCCUACUACCCUACUAAUCAUUUGAGAACUGCAGAAAUUAUGCAAAUUAUAUUUUGGUAUAUUUUUUUUUAUUCUUCAAUAGAAAAGCAUAUGCUUAUCCAUCUUUUGGAAGCCUUGUGACACUGAAAAUGGGGAACUUUGGAAUUUUUUGACUUGUUUGUAUGAAGUCAAUAUAUUUUAAUCUGUGAAGUAUUUUACCGAUCUUCAUCUGUUACUAGUUUAACCUCACUUUGCUUUCUCUCACAAUGAGUCAUUUGUGUUACUGUUGUUAUUUCUUAUCAGCUGAUUGAACGGUUCAAUGGGCGACUACCCGGAUAUUUAGGCCAAGGAAAGGACAAGUUUUCCUUUAGCCACGUCGAUGAUGUGGUAGAAGGGCAUAUUGUAGCAAUGCAGAAAGGUCGAGUAGGUGAGAGGUAUCUUCUAACAGGAGAAAAUGCAUCAUUUGUAGAAGUUUUUGAUGCAGCUGCAGCCAUUACUGGUACGAAGAAACCAAUCUUUAAUAUUCCAUUGUGGUUAAUUGAAACCUAUGGCUGGGUUUCAGUUUUCAUCUCUCGAAUCACAGGGAAACUUCCUCUCAUCAGCCCUCCGGUGAGUCAUCGAACUCUCCUGGUCUUUAUUUUUUGUUACGAAAAUUUCUUGCAUCUCUUGUACUCAACAUGGACAACAAUCAAAUACCUAAAAGGGAUGCAAAACAUCGUAAAAAAAAAAAAGGAAGAGAAAAUAUGUUUAAUUUUCAAGAACAAAAAAACAAAAUGCUUACCAAAAUUUUUGCACCCACCAUAGAGCCAUCUAUUAUUCAAUGGGGGAAGCACUUUAGAUAUUACUAUAUUAAUAAACAACAUAUUUGGAGUUGAAGGAAUACACCUUUUGUUUUGUUUUUCUGUUGGUGGAGCAGACUGUGAAGGUUUUGAGACACCAGUGGGCAUAUUCCUGUGAGAAAGCAAAACAAGAGCUGGAUUAUAACCCCCGAAGCUUAAAAGAAGGAUUAGAAGAAAUGCUAGCAUGGCUAAAGAGCUUGGGUUUGAUAAAAUAUUAAAAAAGAUGGAUCUAUGUUGCAAAUUUCUUUUGUUGCUGUAAUAUCACUCUUAAAAAAAUAAAGAGCUGCAAUACCAAACUUUGAUUAUAAACUGAAAAGUUAGCUGUGAUCCCCCAUUUUAUUUUAAAAAAUAGCUUUGGAUUUUAGUCACGCUCUCCCUGUGAUAGAGUGUUCAUCAUAAUAUUUCUCAGAAUUUUCUAUUAAAAUACUAAGUUAGCAAAUUUAUUUUGUAAUGUAUUAAUAUGAACAGUAAUUCUAAUUAUGGUUCGACAGUGAAUGUUGAAGGUUGCUCCAGACAAGUUCAUAAGUCGACUCAAGAUCAAGUAAAACUAAGAGGUGGCAUGAGGAAAUGUCUGUUCCGAAAGAAAAAAGACAAACCUUUAAGUUUUGAGUUGAGACUAAUUGAGCUGAAAGGAAUAUACCUAUCGAGAAACAAUCAAGUCAAACUCAAUCUUGAUGCUCUGCAACCUUGAGGAUCGUAAUUCUCUCUACAUUGUUCGGUACCACAUUUAAGUAACCUUAUUCGACAAUCUCAAAGGGAAUGAAAUAAACUCUAAAGAAGGACUUUUAACUUUACUUGAACAAUGCAUUCUCUACAAUUGUCUAAGUACUCUCAAACGGGUCAACUUGGAAGAUUCAUCAAAGAAGCAGGCCAACCAGGAGUGUACAAAGAGGUCCGCAAUAGUUAAGUUAACUCAAACUAGUAAAGUGACAUUAAAGAGAGAUUAGAGAGAUUUUAAAGUUGAGUUGAACAGGUUGUUAGACCAAUAAGUGGUUUGGUUAUUUGUGGGAAGUCACAUGGGGCGGGAGGUAAGAGGAAGUUUCGUAGGUAAAAGGUAGGGAAUUGAGUUUUGAUAUUGUCAUAUAUGUGUGUUGUAUUGUAUGGUUGAAUUAAGGGGAUUGACAAGAAAAGAAGAAGAAAGGGUGUUUGGAGGGCGUUGGGUUGUUAACAGCUGUGGAUAAUAAUAAUAACAAUAACAACUAUAAAUAAAUAAAUAGAACAAACAUUUUAAACAAUAAUAAUAGUAUUGGAUUUAUUUAAAGCAAGACAGGCGCAUGAGAGAUGGGGAUUUUUGAGUUUUUGGCGUUGCCGUGCACUGGCCCAACACAACUACAACAACGCCGAAUCCCAUCUCUAACCUUUUACCUCUUCCUCCUCGGCUCACCUUCCACACUUCUAUUCAAAUAGCCCCCCCAUCCAUUUAUUACGAAUGAAACACAAGAAAAUAAAAGAUCAUGUUUAGAUCUUGAUUACACCUCUAUACAUGUAACCAUUUUCUACCUAAAUAGCUGUAAUGAGAGAAUAUCAUGUUUUAUAUAUAGUCAACAAAUGAGAGUGUUUUAGAAUUAUUAGUUCAUAGUUUUGAAUGAUAUUUUUUCCACAUGGUAAAAUAUAAUAUUUGUAUAGAAGAAGAUUAAAAGGAAAUUGAGAUUUGGAACGUUUAAUAUGGGCAAUGAAUGAAAAGAAAGUUGAGUUGGUUUUGACUUGGUGGUGGUGGUGGUGGUGGAGGUGUGGUUGGGUUUCACUUCUUCACGCGGUUUUUGUUUCUUUUUCUUUCUUUUCCCAAUUAACUUCCAACUAACGGCGCCGCUAAUUUCGCAAAGCACAAACCUGACGCUGUCCCCAGCACCCCAAUCGGACUUUUAUUCGCUUUCAUUAUUAUUAUUUCGAUUUACCCAUUCAAUCACAUUGCCCCUCGAGCCUCCAUUAUUUCCUUCUCUAUCCGCUCUUUUAUUUGUUUCUCUUUUCUAAAUCCAUAUAUCUUUUUAAAUAUAUAUAUACAAAUUUGACCCACCUUAUUCUUUUUAUAAUUAUUUCCAAUAAUAAUAAAAUAAAUUAAAAUAUUUACAAAUUAUACUAAAAUUUUGAGUUCUAUUAAAAUAGAAACUUAGACUUAUAUCAAUCUCUAUUAUUGAUAUAAUUUGAAAUUCUUACUAUUUGGUUAAAUUUACUAUUUUUUUUAUAACUUUUCAUUUUUUUAAAGGGUAUUUUUUUAAUUAUGUUUUUGGUUUCUGAAUACAUAGGUGAGUAUAGGAAGCGUAUAAUUCAACUAAAUAUACAAAAGUAAAUUCAUAACUCCUUUUAGGGAGAUUAUUUACUCUUUUCCGAGUGAGACAACUUAUAAUUACUUACACAUUCACUUGUGAUUAUGUGUAGUUUGUUAUGCUUGGGGCUGUAAAACGAUAGAUUUAGUACAACAAAAUAUAUCUUUUAUACUUUUCAAUAUAAAAAAUAAUAAUUGAUAAAAUUUGACAUUUUGUUAUAUAUAUUUAGAUUUAUUUUGCUAUAUUCGAAAAACAACCUUAAAAAAAUACCAAUCAUUAAUCAUUACUAAAGGAAUAUUUGGCCUAAAUAUUCGGGAGAGUAAAACUCGAUAAAUGUAGAGUUGUGAGCUCUACUUCUUAUUUGUCCCGAGAAAUUUGUAGAUUCUAAUACUAAAAAAAACAUCAAUUUUAUAUUUUAUCAACUACUUAUUUGUUGGGAUCGGGACACUUUCUAAGUUUAAAGUUCACAAUUCUACCUCCUAAGCAUCCGUAUGCGUCACUACAGGACUGCUGGUUCAACUAGUAGAGGAAGAAAGAGGAUAACAUAAAUAAUUUAAUUUUCACAUGGUUAGUAAUAAUAAACAGAAAGAAAGAGAACAACAAAUAAAAUAGAAAAAAAUGGAUAUAGACUUACAGAGGAGGUAAAAAGGCAACACGUGGCAAAUGGGAAGUGAAAGGGAGUGGAGACGGGUUGGAAGUGGACCGGAUCCAAUGUGGAAAAGAAAAGAUAUAGUAGGGCCCAUUAACUGAGUGGGCCCAAGAAAAGCAGGCCCAGACAGUAAACGUGACCGGCAUGUUAUUUAUUUAUUUAAUGAAUUUAAUAAGAAAGUAAGUGAAGAAGUGAAGGGAAGGGAAAAUGGAGAAUCAACGGUUUUGAAGGCGCCGCAAGCGCCAAAGACAGCUAUGUCGGCUUCUAGCCGGCUCGGGGCGCCAAAUUAACUAAUUACAUUUAUAAUUUUUUAUUUCAUUUAUUUAAAAUGAUGCCAUGUCACCUGUAAAACACACAAAAAGGACACCCACAAAACUCCUUCAUUUACGCUUUUUUUUUAAAUUUUUUUUUCCCUUCCAAUUACAUCUCUCUCUCUUUCCUUUCUCUCUCUCUCUCUCUCUCUCUCGCGCGCGCUCGAAAGAGCUAUGGAAUUUUUGCAGGAUGCCGGGAUCCGCGUUUCUCGAUCGAAGAAAUCAAUUCGAUUGAUGCAAUUUUUUCCAAUUUUGGUGUAGUUAUUCAUUAUUCAAUCGCCUCACUUUUCCUCUCCUCUUGCCUGUAAAUCCUCUUUCUAAUUCUUUUCCUUUUCCCGUUCUUGUUUUCUUUUAUUUUGGCGUUGGGGUUGGGGUUGGGGUUUCGAAGAUUUUGGAAUGUUACUAAGGUAUGAUAAUCGUUUGAUCCUCGGGUGAACUGCAUCGAAUUUAUUUAUGUUGUCGUUGCGUUUUUCUUUUCUCUCUGAAUAAUUUGUUUAGGAUCAAACUAGAGGCUUAAGUUGUUUCCGAUGAUGAAUUCGUGGUAAAUUAUGAAUGGAUUCGUUUGUGUAAUGUUGUUAUUUUUGUUUUUUUAUUUUUUGUACAUAUGGUUUUGUUUUUGUGAGACUUUUUUAUCUUCCUGUUGGAGAUCUCGAAAGUUUGGCAGUAAUGAUGGUGUGAUUUGUAUCCUUGAAGCGUAUGAUUAGAUGUGUGAUUUCUUGUACGAAAUUUGUUUUUGGUUUUUGUUUCCACAAUGUUGGUGUAUGUGCAUGUGAAGUGUCUGGUUCUUCCGGUUUUUGAUGAUCUAUCUUGCAGGAUUUGUUCGAUUAGAUAUGACGAUUUAGAGUUGGACGGUGCCUAUUUUCUGCGGAAGGCCGUUUUGAAAUUUUGAGGACGCGAAAUACAAUGUCCACGAGGAGUGAACAUCAUACAGUCCCGCUUUCCGUGCUCCUGAAGCGUGAAUUGGCGAUUGAGAAGAUUGAGAGACCGGAAAUCGUACAUGGUCAGGCGAGUCAGAGUAAGAAAGGCGAGGAUUUUACAUUACUAAAGACGGAAUGCGAGAGAGUGGUCGGAGAUGGAGUUUCAACCUAUUCGGUUUUUGGGGUAGGUUCUCUUUGUUUGCUUGAAAAAGUUGAUGUACUCUAUUUGAUCGGCGGUUUACUUUUAACAUCUAUGCUGUAUAUCAUGUCCACUUCUGAGAAUGUGAAAUUUUGCUGCAUUAGAUUGGACUUCUGUUUGUAAAUUAAAAUUGAAUUCUCAUUUUUGCAGCUUUUUGAUGGACAUAAUGGAUCUGCAGCUGCUAUUUAUUCUAAGGAGAAUUUAUUGAACAAUGUUUUAGCUGCUAUUCCAUCGGAUCUCAACCGAGACGAAUGGGUUGCAGCAUUGCCAAGGGCCUUGGUUGCAGGUUUUGUGAAGACAGACAAAGAUUUUCAAGCAAAAGGUGAGACUAUCUCCAUGUAACUAAAUUUUUGGUCUUAGUUGUUCUUGGUUACCUCCUCUAGGGGUAAUCCACUGUCACCCACCUGAGAAAGAGAAGAUUGUGGAAUGGAGUUCAUUUUAUUUUGUAUGGUGAUGAAAGGGUUGGGGAAACUUUUGUUUACCAUUAUGGUGCUUUCAAGAUUGCAAAUUUGCAACUUCAUUUGGAGGAAAAAAGAAAAAGUAUGCGUGACCUUAUGAUUUUUGUUUGCUCAGAAUUAGUCUUGAAAGUAUUUGACAUAGCCAAUUCUGCUCGAUAACCAAAAGUCUAUGGGCUGCACGUCUGUGGCCUUAUCUUUUUUACAACUUCUCUUAAAAGUUCCCCACCCAGAAAUUGCAAUUCUGGUAUGGACAUUUUAAAACCUUGAGAUAAUGAUGCCUUGCUAUUUGUUGUUAUUUCAGCACAAACAUCAGGAACCACAGUCACCUUCAUGAUCAUUGAGGGAUGGGUUCUCACUGUUGCCUCUGUUGGUGAUUCCCGUUGCACUUUAGAAUCAUCUGAAGGUGGCAUAUACUACUUAUCUGCAGAUCAUAGACUAGAAAGCAACGAAGAAGAGUAUGUGGUCCUUUUAUUGCAAUAUGAUUUUUACCACCCACUUUAGUUAUUAUUAUUGUGCUUAAGAUUCUUGAAUGCUUUUGAAUAGGAGAGAACGUAUAAUUGCUAGUGGUGGUGAGGUGGGCCGGCUGAAUACUGGUGGUGGUGCAGAGGUACAGUUGUUUGACUGAUUUUUUAUGAGCUAUUCUUACCUUUUCAACUUUAAUUUUCCAAGACUGACUUUUGUAUGCUUAACUUGCUUGCCCUUUGUUUUUCUUAGAUUGGUCCGUUGAGAUGCUGGCCUGGUGGCUUGUGUCUAUCACGAUCAAUUGGUGAUAUGGAUGUUGGCGAGUUUAUAGUGCCUGUUCCCCACGUGAAGCAAGUUAAGGUAGCUUUCUGUCCAGCAAUGUUUUCUUUCUACGUGUUAUAUAUUUAAAAGUUAUAGUCAUCCUUGCUCGCUACAAACCAAUUCUCUUUCUAUGUAAUAGUUUUGCCAUUGAAAUUUAGCAUAAGGCUGUUGCCUAUAGAAACUCCUUUUUCCAAAUGUGAAUAUAAGCUAAUAUAACUGCUUCUGGCUGGGCACAGAUGGCGACUCAUUAAUUUAUUAUUAUAAUUUCUUUCCCCAUGUUUUGGCAUGUGAUCUGCAUGUGAACCUUGUUUUGGAUCUUCAAUAUCCUUUGAUAUCCAUAAUAGUCAAACGUAUUAUAUCCUUGUAUGAGGAUAAGAUUGGAGCUUUAUUUUACUGGAUUGUAGGUCUCAUAGGUGAUUAUGGAAAAAUCUUAAUACUCUUGCACUGAUUUUCGUUGAAUGUUAAAUUAAUAUGUUUUACAGUUAUGGGAACUGUAUCUUACUAACCGAGCUAGGUAAUAUGUGGUCCAAUUGAAUUGCAGAUGAAUUUUAUAUAUAAGACUCAUGGGAGUUGUGUAGCAGGAGAUGUCAGAGGAAACCAAUACAUCCUGUUUUAAGCAGUUUAGACUUUAGAGUUGGUUUAAAGAUGAGAAAGUACUAUUAGUCUUCGAUGGUUACACAGCUGUGUAUGAGCGAGUAAAUGGCCAAUGUAACCGUUGAAGGAUAGAGAGUUUAUAAAUAGGAAAAGCUAAAGAGACAGGAUAAACGUAGACAUUGUCUUUUUUGUGGUUAAGGAUAUAUUAAAUGGAGGAGAGGCCAGAUUCUUGACUUCUGGUCUUAUUUUCAGCUAUCAGUAAACUAUUUAUGUUUUUUUAGUUCAUUGUUGUCAGGGAACCAUUUGCUUUCUUGGUUUUAGUUUUUGAUAUUUAAUUGAACUGCAACAUAUUUGUGUAAUCUGCAUCUGAAACGACAUUCUUUUUAUCAAGUAAAUUCAUGCUCUUAUUUAAUCUUGCAGCUAUCUUCUACUGGUGGUAGGGUUAUUAUUUCAAGUGAUGGUGUUUGGGAUGCUUUAUCAGCUGAAACGGCCUAUGAUUGUUGUCGGGGGAUGCCAGUGGAAACUGCUGCCGCACAGAUUGUGAAAGUAUGGAUUGUUACAAAUUGAUUAUCUUAGUCCUUGUUUUUGUACUGCUACAAGAACUUUCUUUAAUGUUAUGUUGAUUUUCUACUAAUUGAAUGCAUUUCUUUCCAGGAAGCAGUUCAGUCAAAGGGACUUCGAGAUGAUACUACAUGUAUUGUGAUUGACGUAUUACCAAGGGAGAAACCAUCUACUGCUUUGCCACCACCAAAGAAGCAGGUAAAAGGAAUGUUUAAAUCAAUGUUCCGCAAAAGGUCUUCUGAAUCAUCUUCUCAUUUUGAGAGGGAAUAUAAUGAGCCAGAUGUUGUCGAGGAAUUAUUUGAGGAAGGAUCGGCUAUGCUGUCAGAAAGGUUUGUGCAUUAACAGCAGAGAAGUUAAAUUAAUUCAGCUAACAUUUUAAUGAUCAACUCAGAUGGGGAAUUCUGGUUUACUGUUACUUUUCUAGUAAUGGUGCUAAGUUAUGGUAAAUAUGCUCUUGACUUCAACUUCUGAAAUGCAGGUUAGAUUCCAAGUAUCCAGUCUGCAACAUGUUUAAGCUGUUUGUAUGUGCAAUAUGCCAAAUUGAGAUCCAACCACGGGAGGGUGUCUCCAUAUAUGCCGGCUCAUCUAACCGAGGGAAAUUGCGUGCUUGGGAUGGACCUUUUCUAUGCUCAAGUUGCACAGAGAAGAAAGAAGCUAUGGAAGGAAAAAGAUCAUCUGGAGGUCUGUGGAUCUUGUGUUUGUGUAUGGUUGAGUAUGCGUGUUUGUCUUUUCAAAUUGUUUGUACAGAUUUGGUCCUUAAUUGCUUAAAGAUUAUCCUUAUGCGUCUGCACAGAUAGACACAGCAGCGGAAGUGACUAGCAUACUCUUCAAUUACACUUCAUUGUGGGUGCACUGAGCAGCGUUGAUUGCGAUCUUGAAAAUGGCCAGUCUUAGAAAUUGUUCAGAGUUGACCUUCAUCUCGGAAAUGGACCCCUCUCGGAGGUUUUCCUCAAUUCUCAUUGCUUUCAUUGAGAAUUUGGAUCACUUUUUGGAUUCCACGACAAUUCCAUUGGGAAAUAUAGCUCUCUAGUGUUACUAUUCAAGGCAGGAGAUUGCUAGUUAGAGUUGAUUGCUUUUGGAUACUGUUUUCUGACACCAGUUUAUGAUUGACGUGCUUGCCUCACAUCUUGGGAAAGCUUUCGAUAAAGUCGCCUGUAUAUGACACUGAAGAGUGAAGGUAAAUCAUUUUAGUUUCUCCAUUCAUCUCAUUAUCUGCUUGUCCUUCCAACUUACAAUACCACUGAAUGAACAUAUUAGUCAUUGUAAUUUAAUAUAUAGGGGGAUUCAAUUAGAUAUUUUUAGCUCACUGUUGGUUAGGAGGAAAUCCCUUGCAACACAGCUGCCUAGAUGAAUUGUUCAUACAGAUUUGAUUACAUUCUCUGACAUGUUCAAGAUGAUGAACCAUAUCAAUAGAAAAUAUUGGCAGGCCCCUUUUUCCGAGGAAAAGAAAAUCGUCCAAUACCCAUUACUUUAGUUUGUAUGUACGAAUUGAACUCUUUUAUGUUUUUCUGUUAUUCUUACCUGAAUGGAUUCAAGAAUUCGAUCCAAAUUCGGUUAUUUAGACAUUGACAUCUCCUACGUUUUGACCAGUCUUUAUUUUGCCAACUCUUUGAACCAAUAUGUACCCUUGAAUCUGGCCUUUCUGUUCACUUAUCCUCCCUCUUACUGAUUUUCUUCUCUUAUUGUGCGAUAGGAAAGCGAAACCAUAGAUAUAGACGACCCGAGGUUAGUGCGUGUUGUGGUCACAAGCCACAAGGCAAGAAGUAGACACUGUUUUGGUUGUAUUUGGCAGUAGAAGCCAACCCACACGUGAACUGCAAGCUAGCUAAUAGGGACUUGUUAUUGUCUUGUGUUUUAGAUUUUAUUCCUUUUGAGCGUAGAGACGUGAGAAAUCUAAAAGUUUCUUUUUCUUUCUUUGACUAUUCCUCCAUUACCCCCAUUAUUACGAGCAAUGUCGAGUAGAGUCUGGUCGUUUUAUUGAUCAGAUGAAGUGUGUGUGUGUGAGAGAGAGAGAGAGAGUGAAAGAGAAAUAGAAACAUAAGAGAUUUGCAUAUUUUGAUCUCAAAAACAGAUUUGUAGGAAGUUUGACCUUAAGAUUCAUUCAAUUAUCAUUUUAGAUAGAAAAAAUUGAAAGGUGCAUUAAUAACCUGUAAAUGCAAGUCGUGACAAAGAUUCUAAGGACCCAUUUUCACAAGUCCUGUGCUUUUCUUUUCCUUUUAUUUCUCUUGUUAUGAUUUGAGAUACUCAUAUCCACUCAUCUUCUUCAUUUACUCUCACCCACAGAUCCUUUCGAUACUUAUCUUAAUCAAAGCCUUUCCUUCUUAGCUAACUUGCCCAAUACCGCUCUUUUCCGUUAACAAUGUUUGUCUUUUGACAUAACAACAGUAAUAAUUUUCUUUGCAAACUCAUAAGUUCAAUCAAUUCUGGUCAUUUUCAUAUGAAUUAAUUUUCUACGUAUUUUCUUAAUUCUUAAAUGUUGUAAAAUCUAUUGGGUUGUUAGAUCAGUCGAGAUGUGCAUAAACGGACUUUAACACUCGUAGAUAUAAAAAUAAAUAAAAAUAGAAAACAAACCCACAAGCUUCAGAGGUCCAAAACACUUCACAUUCAAUCCUCUCUCUAACAUUUCGAGUGAUAUUGAGAUAUGAAAUUUAUGAAAUGUCCUCUCUCUCUCUUUCUCUUUCUCUUUCUCUCUCUCUCUCUCUGAUGGAUGGCUCUUACAUUAUCUCUCUCUGAUGGAUGGCUCUUACAUUAUUUCUCUAUGAUUUUGUUGUUGACCUGAGAGCUAAUUCAAAAAACCUCAAAAGUAACCCUCUGCUGCUUCUGUAUUGGAUUGGACCACCCUUCACACGUGUGUGGGUCUACUAUUCCACCAAACUGCUUGAAAAUUCUUAUCUUCCUUUUUUUUCCAUCUCAUAUUGUAAUUUCUCUCCUUUUUUUCUCCCAUCACGUGUGCUGUCGAAUCUUAGUCUAGAAAUGAUUUUUUUUUUCCUUUUAGAAAUCAAGAACAAUAUGUGAUUUUUUUCAAAGAAAAACUAUUUUGAAAUAUGUUAAAUGAAACUACUGACUUUACCUUAAUAGAACCUGUUCUAUAGGUUGCACUUCUAUGUCCGAGACACUGCCCUAAAACUAGAGCGUGAUUAACAGUUGAACGGACCUAGAGGAUCGUUCUUAUUAGUAGGGUUUGCCCUGAUGGGAUGGUGUGAUAAACCAUAUUGAAAAAAUGAAAAAUAGGAUGUGAAUUGAUAAAAUGGAGGAUUGAAAUUGAUAUAAGAAAAACUGUGUCGGUACAACUUUUUGAAAUGAUAUGUUGGUUUAGGAGGGGGAGGCACGUGCUGUAAACAGUUGAUAUACAUCAUUUUCUAAAUCUUAACAAAGUUAAUAAUUUGGGCUCCAAACACGACAAAAUUUUCUUCAUCACCCUUAAUUACAUUAAGUUCUAUUUUUCUCUUUCAAUAAAUUAAAAUGAAAAUACGAUAAAUAAUUAGAGAACAGAAAUGUCUGGAUUGAUUAGCUGUGAAAAGUGUCUUCCCCAUACUUCCCCACAAAUCAAAUAUUAUGUUGUGCUUGGAUCUCCAUUCUAAAUAUUUAAUAAUUUAAUGUGAUUAAAAUAUAUUUAUUUUUAUUUUUUUAAAAAUAAAAAUAGGAAGAAAAUUCGAAACACCACUAAUGUCUAAUAAUGAUAUUAAUAAUAGUAGCUAAGAAGAUAAGAAAUUAAGGUUGUAUUUGUUGUUUGAAUUAAUAUUUCUGGAGCAGAAGAAAAUGUCAAAAGAUUGAGUGACUUUUUCAUGAUUGUUAGGUAAUUUGCUAUGGUUUUAGUGACCAACUUAAGACAGUUUUGAUUGCUGAAUUAAAAGGACAACAUGGAAAGAAAGUUAAAAAGACAUUACACUCAUUAAUUUUCAAAUUGAUUGACUGACAUUACAUAUUCUUCAUUUGUCAUUUUCAAUCUAAUUUGUCAUAUUGGCCACUUUCUCAAAUAAAAAUAUUAUCUCCAAAAAUGGGUUUUCUUCUACUACUGUAAUAAUAAACAAUUGAGUUUCUAUUUUCUCAAAAAAAAUCAUAUUAUCUGAGAGAGAGAGUGUGUGUGUUUUUUGUUUAUUUAAUUCUUGAGUUCAAUAAUGGUAAGAGCGAGAGAUUAGAGCAUUGAUCUUCCGAAGUAUUUUUCUAAUUUAUUGAAGAUAUAAUAAUGUCAGAAAAAAAGCUAUUUCUGAAGGGGAUCCCUAUGAUCAAAGUACUUAGUACUUUAAUAGCUGUUGGAUUGAAUUGGGGACCCAUAUUUCUGUACAUGAAGAGGAAAAAUGUACUUAAACCAAACCUAAAUUCAAUGGGUUGCUAUUUCCACAAAAGACAUUCCAUUCUCAGCUUUCAGGCAAGUCAAUAGACAAGAUCCUUUCUCUCUCUCUCUCUCUCUCUUUCUAUCUCUCCACUACUUCAUAAUCUCCUUAUCUUUCUCCAAAAGUUGAAUUUAGAGACACAGUAUCUAAGAAUCUGAAUUAUGAACUCCAAUCGGAACCACAAUACCACAGCAGAGAAUUUUGCAGAGUACAAGAAGCAAGAAACAGAGAAGUUUAAGGUUGAAGAAAAAGAAACCCAACAACCAAUUCAAGACUCAUCAUCAACAACUUCCCCUCUUCUUCCUUCAGCUUCUUCUUCUCCUUCACAUGAAUUUUCCUUCACAAUUUCUCUCCAUUCUUCCUCUUCUGACAGAAACAAACCAACUCCACCUUCCUUUGCCAUUGAUUUGUCUCCUGCAGAUGAUAUCUUCUUCCAUGGCCACUUGCUUCCCCUCCAUCUCCUGUCCCAUCUUCCUUCUUCGCCUCGUUCCUCCACCAAUUCCAUGGACAGUUUCACCAUCCCAAUCAAAGAGAUAUGGGACAAUGAAGAGCCCCUCAAGGACAGCUCAAGUUGUAGCACCAGCAGCGUCAAGAAUCUGGAAACUGAACCUACUGAAACAGGUGGGAGAACCAAAUCCAAGCCUUUCUCGUUGUUUGGAUUUUCGAGAUGGCGAAAAGGAUGCGAGAUUACCGAGCAAGACGAUAAAGCAAAGCACAAGAGGAAGUUGGGGUUUGAUGUUAGUCAGGUUCUAAAACGAUAUGCAAGAGUGGUUAGGCCAUUGUUGUUCUUCAGAUGGAGGAAAGAGAACCUGCAUAUUCGUCGUCAAGCUUAUUCAUUUUCGGGCAAUUUGAAUCCUCGAAACAAGCAAGAAUUGAGAGGAAGAAGAGGAGAAUUCUCAGCACCAGCAUCCAUGAGAACAUCCCCGACAAAUAGCGGCCUUCUCGUUGCGACUCCAUCUAUGAGUUAUGCUACAAGUGAUAGCACCAUGGAAGAGUUGCAAUCUGCAAUUCAAGCUGCGAUUGCUCACUGUAAGAACUCCAUUGCUAAAGAAGAUAAAACCAAUGUCAAGAGUUGAGAUUAACAGUAAAUCUUCUUUUGCUUGCAAACACGGAUUUCUGUAAAAUAUCCACACACAGAGGUGUCAAUCAUUUAAACUGCUUGCAUGGCUUCCAAAAUCUCAGAGAAAUGAAGUUGGUAUUUAAUGUAAAAAGGCCAAUGAUUAAUUGUUCUUAUACACUAUUCUUGAUCGUGAAUUAUAAUAAUUUUAAAAACCUCCUUGGCUUGUGCAUAGACUACGCUUUUUCAUGUGUUAUUAAUGCAAAGAAUUGAAUGAAUCAAUAAAUGAAGAACAUCAUAGAACAGAAUUUUUUUUUCAGUCGCUUUGCUGACAAUGCUAUGAAAAAGUUCAUUCAUCAAAGACAGAUAGGUUUCACUGUUUAAUUAAACCUUAACAUAAAUAUUUCAGAAAAUCAAUUGAAAAAGGUUCAAAUUUUUCCAUAAAGUUGAGGCUAGAAAUUGGCAUAUUUCCAUAACCGAACUUGUCCUAGAAUUGACAUACCACAGAACUCUUUCCCCACCUCUCUCUCUAUCUCUCUAUCUCUCAUCAUCAUCAUCUUACUCUUAACAUUAUGAAUUCCAACCACAAGAUUGCUGAGUAAAACUGAAAGUGAAGCUUCAUAAGAACUUCACAAGGGAAAAUGAAAAAGCUCAUAAGAACUUUAAUUCAGAGCCGGGCCAACCCCACGAGAAAAGAGACUGAUAUCUCAAACAAAUUUCGGGUUUGUGGAAAAAGAGCUUGAAUCAGAUUUCAGAGUAGGGACGCGUUGGAAUGGGUUAUGCAAGUGAGUCCAACAAAACCAUAGCCACAGAUUUAAAAAAAGACUACCCCCCAAAACCAAAAGUACCAUAAUACAAAGGGAUAACAAUAAUUCAAAAGCCCACUCAAAACUCUAAUCAUCUUUGAACCAUCAAAAGAAUCCAGAGUCCUACGGAAUCAACAAUCAACAAUCAAGGAAAAACAAAAACAUAGAGAAUCUGCAUAGAGAUUUAGUACUUCUCUAAACUCUAGAAUCAAAAUCAUAAACAAUGUAAAUAACAUAAAUAUGAAUACAAUUUAUAACAUAGAGUAAGACCCUAAAUGCUUGGAUAUUUGGAGAAACAAAUAACGAAUUCAAGGUAUUCCAUCAUAGACAAUCAUGACGAUGAUGAUGAGAUAUAGGUGCCUUGAUUGGCCAUAUUCGUAGUAUAUAAAGUACCCCACAUGAUCAUAUCACUACCCAGUAAUCAGUAGUCCCACACAAAAAGGGAUCUCAGUCUUUUCAACAAUCAUAGAGAAAAUGGAAUUGCAGAAACGGAUAAAAGUGCAUAAAAAGAGAGAUAGAUAUAAAGAGAGAUCCAAAAACAUAAAAGGGUUUUUGAAUUUACAUCAAGAGCGCACGAGUGGGUGGUGGAAGAGGGCUUUCAGCCGCCCGUGCGACGGCAUUGGCAAGCGAUUGAGGACCAUUUUUGGAGCUGAGAUCGAGGUAAUGGGGGUUCAUAAUUAAAGUGGCUCACCAAUCAUGUGAAUGGUUUCAAAAAGAUCACAAAACCCUUUUGAACAGAGAAGAUUAGGAUUGCUUUUUCACAAGUUAGACAAAAAAUUUAGCAAGCCAAGUUUCUUCACUUUUUGCUUUUUGCUUUUUGCCUUUUCAUUCAUCUAAUUUGAAAUUGGUUGAUCCUAACAAAGAUGGCGACUCCAAGCAUUAUGAAAAAUUCCAGAUUGGUCAUACCUCUCUAUGGCUUUUCAAAUAAUGACUUUACCAUUAUAGAUUAAAAGCUAUUGUGGUCACUAAUAAUUUAAAAUUCAAUUUAUAAAUAAUUUACUUCUUAAACUUUUUAAUUACGUACUGUUUAUUUUUUAAUUUGUAAUCAUACAACUUUCUUGUGAUCUUUAUAGUUUAUAGAAUAUAUUGAUUAUGAUCAACUUACCCAUUUAUAUGCGUAAGAAAUUGCAUAAGUUUUCAUAAUAUUUUUCUACAAUAAGAAUUAAAUGGCUAUAAAUUGUAAAUGACGAAAGCUAAAUUUACCUUAUCAAUACUCAAUCAUUAGGGACUAAGUUAUGGCUUUAUAAGAGUUCAAUAACUAAAAUUAUUAUUUUAACCGUAACUUUUUUAAACAAAUAUUUUAGAUUGAAAAUUACGAAAUUGAUCUUUAAUAAAAGUUGUUUUUACUCCCCCUCUCGUUUGUUGUUAGGUAAAGACUUCUUAUUGUCUUAGAAAAGUUGAUUUGUAACGAUGUUUGAAUCUAUAAUCUAAAGUGCAUUUGGAUUAACUUUUUAAAUAUUUAUAAAUAUUUAUUUUACAUUUAUAAAUACUUUUUUAAACAAUUAAAAAGUCAAUAAAAAAAUACACUUUUUAAGUUGAUUGGGAGGAAUUUGUUUCUAUUAGAUCUUAUCAUGAAAUUAAAAAAAAAAACUAUCUUGAAACAAAUAAAAGCAACCAAACUUUUAAUUCUGAUGUUACUGAUUCUUACCCUUUAAUCUUUGUACAGUUUAGUCUAUGAUCUUUUUAUUCCUAAAAAAAAACCCUCAAUUCUAUAUAUAAACAUUUUAAAACAAUCAUUCUUUGGCGUUAUAUGAUAUCUCAUUCACAUAGUAUAUAUAAUUAAAAAGGAAAAGAAAGAAAAAACUCUUCUAAUAUAUUGAGAUCAAAGAUGUGAUUUAUUUGGCCCAAAGAGGCAAGUUUGGGCCUAUUUUCCAUGCAUUGUCUAAUAAAAUGGUCUAUACACAGUUUGGAUAAACAACUAAAUCUACUAAUCUAGAAUGUAGAAAUGGACAAAUAUAUCAUUGUUAUCAAAUCCCUCCAAUAAUUAUGGUUAGCAAAUGAACAAAUAUAUCCCUCUUAUCAAAUCCCUGCAGUUAUGGAGGUUUAAGGAGGAAAGAAAUUGCAAGAAACCCUAAACUGAGGAGGGAAGAAGUGGUAGAAAGCAAACUAUGAGAUUAUGAGGUAGCAAAAGCAGUAUUAAAGGGAGAGGAAGGUGGGUUAGCAAAAGUUGCCUUCGAAUGAUCGACCGGAAGGUGAUCAAAAAACGCUAGUAAAAACUAAUGCGAUGAAAAUAUUGAAGAACGUAUUUUCUGAGCUAAAAAACUAGUGUGUGAUUUUUUUUUGUAGUGGCAUGAACAUCAAGACCCUAACUUUUCUUAGUCCGUGUAUCCAUGAAGAAUGAAGAUAGGAAAAAAACUUUAUCCUAAUAAUGGUUUGAGGAUUGAUAUCUAAAAAAGUUUGUUAUAGAAAAUAUAUAGGAAAAAAUUGAUUUUGGCAAAAGCAUUACAAUUUCUCUUAUUUUUUUCUAAAAUGUGUAUUUGAAUGGAUAAGCUUAGGGGCAAUGUAACGUAGGAAUAUAUGUUUAAAACUAUUGGGUAAAGUGUUUUCCAUAUUUCUCUUUCCAAAUCUUUGAUUCUUAAAUUUAUCUUUCCAAAUAUCUCAAUUUGACUUCAACUUAUUCCUCAAAAUUAAGGUUGGUAUCCCCAUAACUUAGCGUUAAUUUCUAUAUGUAUUUCUUUUUCUUGGAAAGUUAUUUCAAUUGGUUGAAAUUAUUUAUGAAAGAAAAAAAAAAUAUCUCUUUAGUUCUUAAAUCUCGAACCAUAGAUACAUUUAAUUGGCGUGGUCCAUAAAGUUUAAAGAGUUCGAUCUCUUGAAAAUCUAUUAAAUUUUAAUAUAAAAAAAAUUAUAAAUGUUAACAUAGCAAGAUGAUAUGGAAAAAACAUUAAAUUUAAACUUUUUAUAUUGAAUUUAACCAUUAAAUUUAAUAUAAUAUAAAAAAUUAUCAAUUCUUUUUUUUUCUUUAAUAAAAACAAGGCUAAUUUUUUUUAAAACAAUGUGGAUGCUUGUGUUAAAAACAAUUGUAAACUUCCAAAAUGUUUAAAAAAUGUCUUUAAACUUUCUAAAUUAGUUCAGAAAUAUAAUUACCGUUAGUUUUGAAUGAAAAUUGUUAAAGUUUUGUUUCAAAAAUACUCGUGAACGAUUAAAAUGUUUCAUAAAUAUCACUAAACUUAUAAAAAUUCAAAAAUGUUUUCAUUAAUUCAAAUUUUACAUCAAAUUUCUUAACGCUCAAAAUAAAAAUAAAAAUUUUAAGUUAAAACUAUAGAAAAUUCUCAUUGAUGUGGAUAUUUUUAUUGAUAUUUUGAUAUUUUCAUAGGUUCGAUAUCGAUAGAGGAGGUGAAUAUAUAUUUCCAUUACAUCGUAGAAAAAUUCACGAAUCACAAAAGUAAAUAUGAAAAUGACACAAUAUAAAUAUAAAAUAAAUAAUAUACAUGUUUACUUAUUUAAAAAUAAUAUUACUAAAUUAAAAUUAUUUUUUGAAUUUGUUUUUAUAAUUUUAAAAAAAUGUUCAUUAAAAUCAAAAUUUUGUAAAUUAAGAUUUUGAUAUAUCAAUCAAGAUUGAAAACAUAAAAUUAGACAAAUCUCACGGAGUUUCAAAAUAGAUCUUCCUUAAAAUAUAAUAAAAUAAUAACUAGUCAAAUAAAAAAAAUCUCACACUUAUAGAUGUGUGAAACUAUCACACUGUGUUAAUAGUCAAAUACAUUUUUCUAUUUAUCAAUUAAUUAUAUGUUAAUUAUAAUAAUAAACAUUAUUAAGAUUAGUUGUGUUUGUAUGAUAUAUCAACGUGUGUUAGUAGUUAAAUAAAUUUAAAACAAUUAUCUUAACUUAAAAUUUUUAUUUUGAUUUUAAUUGGUGAGAGUUUUGGAUAAAUAAGAGAAUUUAUUAACUUUUCUUAAGUUCAAAUGUAUUUUUGAAACUUUCCAAAUUUAACCGUUUCAAUUCAAAAACUAAUGUUAAGAGUAUUUUUGAGUUAUUUUUAAAGUGUAAAAGUGUAUUUUUGAAACUUUUAAAAGAUUACGGAUAUUUUUGACACAAAUAUCGAUAUCAAAGUUGAGGAGCAUUUUCUUUGCAAUAACGAAGUUUGCCUCCUCGAUCCAUGGAUUUAAGACGUGGGUUUUGCUUUAAUACGAAUAAAAAUAGAAAUGCAUUAGUUUAAAAUUGAAUUCUAGUUUACUACGAAUGGGUGAUACUUAGGGUGUAUCUUGAAAUGUUUUAUAUUUUAUGCAUCUCUUUUUCAUCAUUCACGUUAAACAAAUAAUUAAAAUAUUCCAUAGAAGUAAUAAAAGACUUGCCACAUAACAAAUUGUUGGGAUGUACGAAGGUAGGCGAUGUUCGGGAUGCGCCUAAGUUUUAUUCUUUCAAAAGGAUCUUUUUUUAUUGUCGUGCCAAUAUUAAAUUAAAUUUUUUUAUAUAGAAAGAUUUUUUUAAACUUAUUUUUCAAAACUGACUGAUUCAAAAACUUUUUUAUUUAUUUAUAUAAAUAUAACAAAAUGUACCUGUAGAUAUUCUAGCUCAUUUUAUUAUAUUUAAAAACAUUUUUUUACUUUGAAACAAACAGAUAAUUUUUGAAAAUGAGUGGGUAAUGACUAUGGAAGAACUGUUAAAAUUAUAAGAUUUAACAAAAUAUUUAGACAAAAUGACAUGUAAUAAAUUUUGUGUUUUAGGGGUUUGAGAGUAAAAUAGUUUAUCAUUUUUUUUAAUUUUUGAAGAAACCCCAUCUAUUUAUUUAUCUAUUUUUCCUUCUUUCUUAGAGCUAAUUUAUGGUUUAAUUAAGACCCAAACUCUAUUUUUGACCUUCUUAAUUAAAAAGAAUAUAUAAGACCCUAUGAUAUGUAUUAUUACUUUCAACAUAUUUAAUUUCUUGUUUGGCUCUUUUAAAAAUUAUUAACUCAAUUUUUUAAAAUCUGAAAAAUAGUUUUAGAAACUAAUUUUUGCUCUUGAUUUUGGUUAAAAUUUUGAGUGUUGCUGAAUUAAACAAUAUGAAUUAAAAUUACAGUACAAGAAGCUGUAAGAAACUCAUUCUUAUAAACUAAAAACUGAAACCAAAUAAUUUCUAAAUUGAUUCCUUCCAAUAUAUAUUUUGUACCAACGCAACUUAAAAUUUCAAAUAAAAAAGUAAUUUAAAUUGUUUUUAGAAUUUGAAAAGAGGGAAAUCAAUUGACAAUUUGAGAAAAAAACAGACGUAAUUUUUUUUUAAAAAAAAUGCAAUAUUUAUUUAUUUUGAAAGAGAAUAUCGAACACGUUCAUCUUUUUCUUAAAAAAAAUUCUGAUUCUUUUGGAAAAUGAUCUAAUAAACACACACACUUAUAUUAUACCACUUGUAAACUAGGCUUAACUAAGAUCAGCAUCUACUCCCUAAUUAACAUUUUUCUAUGUUUUCUAAUAUACUUUACAAUUGGUAGACAGUAAUAAUAUAUUUUCAAUUACAAUUUUAAGAGUUUUCGGACAUUAAACCAUUCUUUUUUGGAAAGAAAAAUGUAGUUAAAAUUAGAUUACUCGAGUAAGAAAUGUAGUUGGUAUGUGAAGGAGUUUUGUAUAUUUCUAAUAUCACUCAGCUCGUCUUUCAAUCAAACUCAAAACUUAACGUUUAACAUUUUAAAACUUAAAUAUUAAAUAGGAACUAAAUUCAAAACUAAAGAAUGAAAAAGAUAUUCUUCGUCCUAGUUAUAUAUUAGCACUCAUGUCAUCUCUCCUAUGUUUUCGUAAAUUUCGAGAGUAAUUAAACUUUGUGAGAAGAGGGAAUAAUAUAAAGCAAAAAAGUAAGUUACAUGAAUCUAAACUUUAAUUACUACAACCACUAUUCUCAAUCUUGAACAAUAUAACACAUGUGAUACCACAUCACUUUAUAUAAACACAUUUAGAAGAUUCUUUAAAAAAAAUUAUUCCUUUUUUCAAUUUUAGGGGCAACCAACAGCAUAAUUAAUUUCAAAACAGCCUUUGAAAUGUUGGAUGGAACAAUCAAACCUAAACCUAACCUCAAAAUUGAUAUAGUACAAAUAUUAAAUUAUUUUAUUAUUAUUAUUUAUCCAAGCGAAUUUUAAAGAGUUAAUUAGUGGGAAACUUUAAUUUUAUUCUUUGUUAUGGAUUCUUAUUGAUUCCCUUAUAAGUUUAUAGCAUAUUGUGUUUAACAAAAGAGUUUGUCCUAACAUUUACAAAUUCAUGAAAACAGAAAAUAAAGGUUGGUUUUAUUUAAAGCAUGGCAUAGGAACCUUUUCCUUAAGCCAAAAAGUAACACUGACAGUUGAAAUAUGCAACUAAUCAAAGGCAUCAAAUAGCCAAAUUUAAAUUAAUACCCUAAAAAAUAAUGUUAUGAUUGAAUCUCUUAAUCUAUUAAUUAGUUCAUUAUUUUGAUUUCUUAUGAUUUUUAAUUCAUCUCAAUCCAAAAUUACAUUUUGAAAAAGGUAAUAUAUACAUAGUUGCACUCUAGGCGACACUUAAUUAACUUCAUGCAUCUCUCUUUUUUCUUCUAGGAAAAAAUGUUCAAAUAUAUCUACUGCAAUAAUAACCAAACUUUAGAUAAUGUCAAACGUUAUCAAUUAUAUUAAAAUUAAAAAACUUAAUAUAUCAUAACAAAUUAAUAAAAUGAGGGGAAAAAAUACAAAAUCAUCAAAAUUAUUAAAUAAAAUACAAAACAAUAAUGUGUUAUCCUAAAGGACAGCAUGCCAUUCUAUAUUUGGACCUUAGUAAGUAGAAAAAUGAUAAAGGAAUUUCCAUAUGCACAACUAAUUAAUUAAUCACUGACUUUCUCUUUUUUUUUUUUUUAGCUCAAAUAGAAUUCAAAUAUAGGAAUUGAAGUGUAGAGUCUGUAGACCAUCGAUCUUUUAAACUAUGAUACUAAAUUUGUUGAUUUAAUAUACUUAAAAAAUUAUAUAUUGACGAACAUAAUUCAAUAAAUAAUAUAUUAAUUAUCAUUUCGUACAUAUACACAAUAAGAAAGUAUCUCUUUAUUCAAAGAUAUUUCUUAGAAGCAGUUUACAACAAGAGAGAGUAUCCUUUAUUUAAAAAAAGAAAAAAGAAAAAGAAGAGUUACUAUAAGCAGUUUUUGAUUAGAACAAAUGGAAAUAAAGAUUUGAACUUGACCCUAAACACUCACAAACAGUUAUUUAGUAAUAGUUUCACGAUCUCGAGUAUAAUUUGUUGAUGGAUCGUAAAGUAAAAUAUGAAAAAUCAUAUAUAAUCUUGAUCACACAUGAUUUUUCAUCUUUUUUUAUAGUACGUCCCACAGAUUAUACACUGAAAUCAUUUAAACCAUAUAUAGUAAAGGGAAAAAGAAACUCAAAAAAGAAAAGAAUAGAAAAUAAAAGGUAAAAGAAUAUAUCAAAUGAUGGUAUAUUGGCGUUGCUCAGCAUAAUUAACAAGUGACUCGAAAUCCUUCUCGCCGAUGAAUCCAUCUCUGUCAGAGUCGGCAUGAAGAAGAGCGUGGCGAGCUCGGUAGGUCGGGAGAAAGGCGCCGAUAUAUCGGAAGGCUUCAGUGAGCUCGGUGGUGCUGAGACGGCCGUCCUUGUCGCUGUCAUGGUUUCUGAAGAUCAGAAGUAACUGUUCUCUUGAUAGCUUUGCCCUUGGGUAGUAGUUUUUGCUUUUUCUCGACAUUUUUAUCCCUACAAUUCUUCUUCCUUCCUCUCUUUUGCUCUCACUAUUUGCUUGUAAAGAGCUUUUGAAGUGUAGUUGUGUUUUGGGUUCUGCAUAUGUUGUCUUUAUAUAUAGGAGUUUUAUUAGUCAUGUGGGGGAUAUUAAAUUAAUUAUUAUUUAUAUAUUUUUCUAACAUUUCCUUUCUUUUAGUUUAGGGUUUAGAUUCUUGAACGUCAGAAUUGUUCUGUCAAAGUCAGAAAUAUUUUGGGUGAGGGAGAGGAAAAAUAAAGUUUGCUUCUUUUUUUUUUUUUUUUUUUGAAUAUGUGGGUGAAGGCAUCAAAUUUUGACAAAGAUUGAUAGUAUGUCCAUGAUGUAAUGCUUAUUGUGACUAUUCAGAUAGAGAUCAUGUUAAUAUAGUUUACUUUAUACUUAUUCUAUUUUACCAUUGGAUGCUUAAAUCUCAACUACAUAUUGUUAACUGUUAUUGUUUAUAAAGCUAAUAGAUAAAAGUAAAUUACUACACGAAAUAAAUAGUAAAUAAAUAAGUUGUGCUAUAUAAUUGUGUAAGAAUAGAUAAAAUGAAAGGGGUUAACAUAAAAAAUAACAAAUGAUAUGUUUAUUUUCUGUAUAUCUUUUCCAAUUUUGAAUAAUAAUUUUUUGGUUUAAUGAACGAGAGUAGAUGAAUUAGCCUUCCCCAUUUCCAUUCCCAUUUUUGUUUGUUUCUUUUUACUAAUUAUUGAUUAAUUUCAACCAAAUAAUUCUUUAUUUUCUUAAAUGCUUAAUUAAAUGACACAUUUUCAAAAAAAAAUAUUAUUUAAAUACAAGAUUAUAAAAUCAACAAUAAUAUUCUACAUGUAAUAUGCAAAGAUUUUUAAAGCGCUAAAUUCCACUAUUUCUAAAUAUUAAUACAUUAUUUAUUUAUAAAUAAAUUAAUAUAAUAGAACAUUCAAGGUCAUAAAGCAAGAAAAAGUCUUAAACAAGUUUUCAAUUACACAGAUAACGAUAAAGUUUUUUUAUUAAAGAAAAUAAAACCAUACAACAACAUAUCCAUCAUAGAUUAAUCAAACUUUGUAAGAGAUGACAUUAAUGAAUGGUGAAUCGGGUAAGAUGAGAGAGGGAAAGCGUUGUUUCAAGACUUCUUAAAAUUUUAUAUAAUUAUUGUUCAAUAAAAUACGUUAAUAUUAAUCCUUCAAACAAAUCGUUCGAGAUUUACCACUCUUAAAAUAAAAUAAAAAAUUUCACUUUAUUGAUUGUUUUCGACCUUCUCAACAAUCAAACUAAGAUUCUAGUAAUUUUUUCAAAUUUGGUAUAUUUUAAAAGAAAUUCAAAAUUCAACUAUUUUACUCAAUAUUAUACCUAAGUCUUAUGUCCAUCUAAAAACGGAUUUAAAGGUUUAAAAAAUUACUAAGAUUUUGAUAUAUAAUUAGUUUUGAUUUUGAUAUCAUACAGGGUGAAGGUAACUAUUUUGGAAAAGUAUGGGAAAUAUUUGAAAAAAAUUACUCCCGACAAGAUUCAAAAUAAUUGAUAAGUUGAAAAAAUAAAUAAAUCUUAGUGUGGAUUGAAAAAAAUUGUUUGAACAUAUCUUUAAAAAGUGCUAAUUUUGUAUGACAAAAACUCAAUUAUUCAAUUAUUGAAUUUCCAAUUUUUCUCUCCGUUUAGUAACGAGUCCUCGUAGGACCGAUGAAUUAAAUGAAUAUAUAUAGUGUUAAUCAACUUAAGGAAGGUAGCGAGUCUCUAAAAUUAACUUAUUUGGUAAGCCUCGUAAUUUCAAAAACUUAGACUUCUUUAAGACAUGUGGAUUAACUCUCAUUUCGUUUCUGUUUUUUUGUUUUAGAAGAUUAAUUUUUUUAAAAUAGAUAUGGUUGGUACUUCUAAUUUUUUUAAUAAAAUAAGUUAUUUAAACAUAUAUAAUUUUUUAUUUUAAUAAACAAAAAAUUUAAAACAGAAAAAAACAAUUAAAAAAUUGAAGUACAAUUAAAAAGAAAAAUCAAAACUUAUGAUAAAUGUACUUCAUGGUAAUUUCACAAGCAUAUAGUAUAUGUUAACUCUUUUGCUUUUUAUCCAACACAGUAAGUUAAUGUUACUCGUGGUAAAACAUUUAAAUCAAGUCAAUUUGUUUUCUAAACUAAUUAAAGCUUUAACUUUUAAAAGUUUCAACUCCUGUAAUAAAUUAACAUACAUUGUCAAAGUUUCUUUUAAUACAUGUUUAAUAAUAAUAAUAAAAAGAUUAAUUAAGAAGCAACGUUUUGGAUUAAAAAAUGAAAAUAUUUAAAACGAGAGAAGAGGGAAAAAGAAAACAUGUUUUCAUUGAUAAUAAUUUUCAUUUCACAUUUAUAUUUACUGUACUUGAAAAUCUUCAUCUUUAAUUUUUUUACUAAAACAAUUCAAUUUCUUCAAACUACUUUUAGAUUUAAUGUCAUUAUUUAAUUCAUUAUCGUAUAAUUAGUUUAAUUUGGAGGGUUUGACAGUCAAAAAGAACAAAAAAAAAAUUAACUAUUGAAGUAUUUAUAAAGUUUAUUUUAAAUUGAUUUUAAUAAAAAUAAAUCAUUUUUUUAAGUUAAUCUAAACGUGCUUUUAACAAUAACAUUUUUAAAAUUAUAAAAUAAAUUAACGACAAUUUUGGAUUCUAUCCAUCUCUAUUAAUAUUUAUUAUCAAUAUAAUUUAAAAAUUUGGGUGUAUGUUUGAUAACUUUUAAAAAUUAUUAAAAAAUAGAUGUUUCCAUUUUCAAAUUUUAGAAAAGCUUAGGAACAAAAUCAGAUUUAAAGCAAUGAAUUCAAAUUCUGGAGGUUGGAAAUUUUCAAUUAAUUAUGUGUAUAGUUGGAGUUAUCUUUAAGUUUAUGCUUUUGUUAAUUUUUUUUUGGGAACAUGAACUUGAAAUUUAAAAUUAGAUUGUGAUAUGGAAAGAUAUUGGAAUCCAAUAAUUCAUUGUAUUUAGAAAUAAUUCUCUGCCUGUUCUUUUUAUUAGAAAAAAGAAACAGAAGAAUAUGAUCCAGAAGAAAUAUAAAUGUUAAACGAUAAAAAUAGGGUUAAGAUUAAUGUCAUCAUUUGGCACUUUGAAGAAAGUAAAAUUGUAAAGAAUCUUUUUUCAAUGUAGACUCCCACUUCCACUUCCACCCACCUUCAUAAAUUUAUAUUCCUUCUACAUUUUAUUAGUAUUUUAUUUUAUUUUUCCAUGUGUAAUUAAUGAAAAAAAAACCAUUUAAAAAUUUAAGACAAGACUCAAUCGAGCAUUGGAUACGAUCAAAAAUAUUAGAGUUUUUGCAUGUCACAUAAUAGGACGAUAUGAUUAUGUAUCUUAUGUUCUUGUAGUUGAGUUCUCCUUAGUUAUUAGUUUGAAUGGAGAGAUAUUAUUACGUGUGCUUAAUCAAUCUAAAUACAUCGUGUGCUUAAUCAAUCUAAAUACAUGUAUGGUAAUCUUAUAGUUUUGAGAUAUAUUUGACUCGAAUUUAUACCAAUAGAGUUCUUUUUUAGCUUAAUUUGGACUAAGAAUAAAACAAGAUAGAGCGACAUGACAAGAUCUGUAAAGUUUGUUUCCGUUUAUGGUAAUUAAAAAAAUAUAGACAGAGCAUCAAUUCAUUGAUAUAAAAUUUAACGCAAAAAUUGAAAUUAAAAUUUUUGAAAAAUGACCGUGAAUAUUUAAAGAUAGUUAACGGUUUGAGAUGUUAAAAAAGAGAAUAGUAAUAUUUGGUCAUACUAUGACAUUUCAUUUUUCUAAUUAAUGGAGCUUUUAACUUAGUAAUUGAUAUGACAUUUGAUUUGAGAUAGAAGAGGUUUGAUUCUAAAUAUGUGAACAAAAUAAUUUUUUAAAAAUAUAAAAUAAAACGUAAAUUGGGGAAACAUUACAUUUUAAUAUUUUAAUAAUAUUCAUCGGUCGUAGUUGGUUUUUUUUUUUAUUUCUAGUUUUGUUUUUUUUAAAUGAUAGGUUUAAAUCUUAUUUUGGUUUCUAAACUUUAUGUCUUAUUAUAUAAAAUAUCGUUAACUCUAACGAAAUGAUGAGAUGACUUCUAUAUCUCGAUGAUAAUGCUACUAAAUAAUAUAAUUAACUCUUACCAAUCUAGGGUUUUAAUUUUUAAUCAAAGACUGUAUGGUAAAUAGAUGUUUCAUCGGAGAACUAAAAAAGUUACUUUGUCUUCAAGAAUUUUGUUCAUCAUCAUUUUGAUGCAUUGUCGUUCAACUGUCACUUUCUCAACUCACAUGCUAAGAUGCAAUUCUCAUCCACAUACACAGUUUUUAGUGUCUCAAGUUUGACGUUUUUUGUGAUUCAUUGGGGUGUUUUUUUUUUCUUCUUCCUCUCGGGGGGGGUUGUGAAUCUUUGUGAAAAUAUUUACCUGCAAUUUUGUGAGUUUAUUUUAUAUACAUGUGUUAUAUAUAUUUUAUUUUUCUAGUUUACCUUGUCAUUAUAUUUAUUUUUUUAUUCUACUCAAUGUCAUCCUUUUGAUCAUUUGUUUCCACAUUUCAAUUUGAAAUAAAAAUAAAAAAGGAGGAGGAGCGAUGAGAGGAUGUGAGAGAUUUAAGUUUUUUUUAAACAAGAUUAGUUUUUAAUUUAGGUUUUAUUUGAUUCAAAUGUAGUGUUGACGUAAAAGAUUAUAGAAUAAAUUAGUAAGAUUUUCUAAAUAUUUAUCAAUUUGAUUAAUACGAUGAAUCUAAAGUCUAAUCAUUCAAAUAUAGAAUAAAUUAGUAAGACUCAAUGAAAUUCUAAUAACAUGGAUCAAAGUAAGUUUUUUUCUUCUUAAAAAUUAAAAACUUCUGGGACGAAAAAGGACAUUUUCUAAAAUUUAUAAACCAAAAUAGAACUCGAUACAGAGUUUAUGAACUAAAAUAAGAUUUUAACCUAAAAAACAAUAUAUUAUUUGUCUAUGCAAAAUGUUUUGUAUUUAUUUGUUAGUAAUUCAAUAUUUUUUUUAAUUGAAAUAACUAUUUGAAUUAUCAUGUUUAUUUUGCUUCAUAUAAGAUGAAUAUGUGGAUUGUCAUCACUUAGAUGUAUAUGAAUUUAAACACUCUUAUGGAAAGCAUCCAAAAAUACAACUUUUCAACAUUCUUAGAUUGAGCUUAUCAUUUUUAUUUCUCACUUGUUUCCUUCUCCACCGUGACUUCUAAUUUACUCCAAUUUAAAUUUAAACUAAUCCUUAUUUUAUAAGAAAAAUGUUAAAUAUAUAUAAAAACAAUAUCAAUGAUAAUCAUUUUCUUUUAAAAAUCAAAUUAAUAAAAAGAUAUACGUUGUAUAAAUUCAAAAUAUAUUAAAGUAAUUAUAAAUAAAUGAAGAAUUAAGGCUAAAAUAUUAUUGGAAAAUGAUCUGAGUAGAAUAUAUUUAGUAGUAAAAAUCCUAUUAAUUGAUUGUGAUUGUUUCAUGUUCGUGUAGAUAAAAGUAAACAAACCUAAAGUAGAAGGGAUAAGAAAAAAAAAGAGAGACUAAAAAGAUAAAUAGAAGUAAGUAGUUUUUUUAUGUGUACUCUCUUACUUUUCUUACAAUUACAUUAAACUGGCAUAUGAAUAAUUGGUGAUGCUCGACUCUUUUAUUUGUGAGGUUUUGGUUCGUAGUUGUUUCUUAAGAUAUUUAUUUACUUAAAUGUUUUAUGUAAUUUUCUUUUCUAGUUGAGGUGUGACAAGGGUUGGUUUCUUCUUUCUAACAAGUAUGGUAUGUUGAACAAUUUAAUUUAUGAUUUUUUAUUUUGUUAUUAUAGUUUUAGAAGAAAAAAAAUGAAAACAUUUGUAUAUAAUACGUCUUAUGUUUGUCUUGGUAUCUUUUUCUAUGGACACAAAUAAAUGCUACUUUAUAGCUUUUGACAUUUUCACUAGCACGACACGUGUUCAUUAUUAAAACACAAAAGAAUUUUUAAUUGUUUCUUUUCUUAUCUUUUGUCACUUUUUAUACAUAUAUACUUGUCUCAUCGUCAAAAGGCAAAAGAUAAAUUAAGAUAACUUUUUGAAAAGUUGCAUUAUAUGACAAAAACAUUUAGAGAAAAACAACUCAUCACAUCUCUUUUUUUGCAUAUUGUUGAAUAUGCAUGGCAAAUAUAACAAGUGAUUAAUAAUAUCAGACGACUAUCGACUUUUAAAUUUAUUACUUUUACAAUUUAGAAAAUAUAAUAACAUCAGUAUUUUUUGUUUUUUUUUUUUUUUUUUUUGCUAUUUUUCAAGUAUUCUUAACUUUUUUUUAUAUUUUUAAAGCAAGAUAUUUAAAGACAAACUCAUGUCAAUUUUUUAAUCCAUCCUAGUUGCUUUGGCCAUAAUACUAAAUCAAAGUAUAAAAGAAUAAUAAACAAUAAAAAAAAAUGUUACUAAUAUAAAUAUAAUAUAAGUCGUAUACAUGUUAAUUCGUUUAAAAAUGUUAAAAUGUUUAUUUUUAUUUUUUCAAAAAAUAAAUCGAUUAAAAAAUAUAUUGAUCUCAAUGCUAAUAAACUGGAGUUAAUAUAUUUUUAAUUUAUAAUCAUUUAACCUUUAAAUUUUAUUUUAUAGUAUGAACAAUAUUAUUAAAGAUAUUGUUAAGGGAAGUUUAAUUCAUUGAUAGGUAGAUGAACAAAAUUGGAUGUGUUUAUAAACUACAACUGUUACAUUGUUACCAUGGUAGAAUUAAUUAUACUAUUAAAUUUUGAUGAAUGAUUGAUGUAUUAUUUGAAGCUCUAUUUUAAUAACCGAUUUUUUGUUUCUACUUUUCUAAAUUUAAGUUUAUAACCCUUAUUACUAUCUCUAAUAUCUCUAAUGUAAGUAUUUAUGCUUUUGUAUUAAGUUUCUAUGUACAUUUUCAAAAUCAAUCCAAGUUUUGAAAAUGUACUUAAAGAAGUUCGUUAGCAUUUUCAAGUGUUGUUUCAUCUGUAGUGAAAUUCAUAAUUAUUAGAGAAAUAAUUAAGAGUUGAAGUAUUUAAUUAAAGAAAAUCUAUAAAUUGUGAUGAAAAAAAUGGUUUAAUUUAUAAGGUUGAGAUAUAUUAUUCCUUCUUAGAACUGACAAUUCACAAACUUUAGCAUAAAGCUGUUGUAUUGAUAUAUUUCUUUUGUACCUUGUUUUCUUCUUUUCAUUUUAUGAUAGAGGAUUAUCUUUGGUUAUGAAUUUUAUUAUAAUGUUUUAUUGAAUUUAUAAAUUUUAGAAUGAAAAAUUACGAAAGAUGACGAUUAAAUUCAAAAUAUUAAUAAAAUUUGAUCUAUACCAAUAUCACUUAUAGAUUAUAAGAAUUUAUCAAACAUAUAAAUCUAUUAGUUAUAUUUAUAAUUUUCUAAAAAGUAUAUACUUAACAAUUAUUCAUAAAAUCGUUUCCUGUUAGACUCACGUGUAUCAAUUUACAUUCUUAUUUGUCAAAGUUCAUUAUUAAAAAAAAUUAUUGAGUUAAAUUUAUAAUUAUCUCAAUUAAAUUUCAUAAUUUUUCCAAUGUAAAUCGAGCUAGACAUUUUAAUAAAGAUUAUCUUAAAAUCAAUGCAAAUUAUUUUUAAAGAAACCAUAAGUGAAAAUUUUAAAAUUUAGCUAAUGAAUAUAACUAAAAUUCUGUAUUUAAAGUGAAUUUGCCUUUUUUAUUCUUUUGAUUCGACCUUUUACUUAUUUUGUAUGAAAAAAAUAAAAUGAAAGUUUAACACCAUAUUUAUCAACCGAAAGUUGAUUUUGAGGAAUAAAUUGACAUUGAUAUUUUUCUAAAAAUAAAUUAUAUGGAUCUUUAAGCUUAACUUAUGUAAUUUAAAAAAUCAUUAUUGGAUGAAAAACAGAACAUUCAAUUGAAAGAAAAAUAAUAGGUGUCUUCAGAAUGAAAUUAUGCUUUAAUGUACAAUUAAUGAAAUUAUUGUACAAUUUUCUUUUAAAAAAUGGGGGAAAUUAAAGAAAAGAAAAGCAUAAUUCAAAGAAAAAUAAGGAGUGAGCUUAUAAUGGAAUUAUUGUAAAUAGACACAAUUAUUGGAAUUAAUGUAUAAAUAAACUUUAAAAAGACCAAAAUUUAAAUAAAAUAAUAAAAGAAAGAUAUUGAUGUACAAAAAAGAAAAAAAAAAAAAAGGGACAAAAGGAAUAUGAUAAUAUGUUGAAGACAGGAUGGGUAAUACAUUCUUUGUGUCUAUUCCCCAAAUUAUAUUAAACAAAAAUUCUCCAUUCUCCAUUUUCUAUAUUCUAUUUAAUUUAUUCCAAGAAUAAUCACUCACACUCUCAAAUAAAAAGAGUUUAAAUAUCAUUUUAUAUUUUAAAAUCUUAAUAUAAAUGACCAAAUAUUAAAACUAAUUAUAAAAUAUAGUAAAAAAAAUUAAUUACAGCUGUUCUUUAUAAAUAUUUUUAAUAUUUUACUAUUUUUGAAAACGUCUCUUUUUUAUCUUUUAAAUUUUAUUUUAAUAUUAUCAAUAUGUGAAAUUUCAGUAGAUAAAUCUUCUCGAAAAUUCCCAAGUAUCGUCUCCAACCAUCAUAAUAUUUAUUUAUAGCAACCUCAUAUUAAUAAAAGAAAAAGAACAUUGUUAUGAUAGAUAAGAUUUUAAAGAAUAUAUUUUAUUGUAAUGAUUAAUUAAAUUAAUUAAUGUGGUUAUUAUAAUGUAGAAAUUAGAUUUGGUUCCAUCAGUUAGAAAAGGAAGAAGAAGAAAAUUAAAGUGUAAUUAUAAUUAACAAAUAAAUAAAGUGUGUGAAGUAUGAGCCGGUGCAGGCGAUAUAUAUGUGUAAAAAUUGGUGUGGCACAUGUUUAUUUAUAAAGCUUAAAAAGCAUAUAGUAUAAUAAAAAUAUUAUUCUUCAAUUAAUUAAUGUAACAACGACCAUUUGUCUAAAAGAAACAGAGCCCUAAGUGGAGUAUUCCAUUUUGAUUUUAUUUAUUUAUUUGUAUGUAUAAGUUUUUCAUUUAUGAAAUUAAAAAUAAGACACAUACAACUGUUAUACAGCUACCUCAAUCCACUCAUUUCCUAAUACAAUACAAAUAUAAUCAUCUAAUACUUAUAUUGGUCACCAAAAAUUCAUUAGAUUAUAAAAAAACUAGGGGUAUUGCCAAUAUAUAACAUAUCUAUUAUUAUAAAGGUUAGAUGCCAAAUUUUUUAUUCAUAAAAAAUGCAAUUGAUCCUUCAUCGAUAAAUUUGUAAUUUUGGAGAGGAAAAACUUACCAAACAAAAGAAAAGAAAAAAACUAGGUGUUACAAUAAUUAGAAGUUUUUAAAAUAACGCAUGGAGUUAUAAUAGUGUAUUUUUAGAGGAUUUGAGAUUUAACUGUCUAAGAUCAAUAUAUGACUUUUCCUAAUCCUACCCAAGUUAGAUUAAAUCUUAUUUUAUUUUAUAUUAUUUUAAUUCUCAGCUUUAUUUCGUUAAUUCGUUAAGUUAAAAAUUCUUCCUAAACAAAAAAAAACUAAAACAACUCAUUUUCAAUAUAUAUAUAUAUAAAAGGACAUAGUAAGAUUGAAUUAUAAAUAUUAAAAUUAUAAUAAGCAUACUCUGUACUGAUUGUUUUGAAUUUAUGUGUAAAUGAUAUAUAUAUAUAUAUAUAUAUUUAUGUGUAAAUGAAGAUAUAGCGUAAAAAUAUGAAUAUAACACUAAAAGGCUUAAAGGCUUAUAUAGAAGAAUAUAUCAACAUAAGCAAAAUGGCUAUAAAUUAAAAAAUAAUGAAGACAUUUUGUUUGAAUGAUUUUCUUGAUUGAAUUUUCAGAUUACACGAUUUCAUUCGUGCAAUUUUGGUAUAUACAAUUAAAUGUAUGGUUUGAGUUUAACGAUAAUUAAAGAUUUCAUAUAAUUACAUUGUCACGAUAUAGUUUUUUUUAAAAAAAAAUGGUAGAAAAUAUAAUUUUAGUUGGAUGAUUAGUUUGAACUAUAGUGGUUUUAGUUAGAAUAUUGUUUGUUUUUAAUAAGUAGAACUAUAGUCGGUUAAGUAAGAAGAUGGUUUGUGAGUAGAAAAUAGUAUUAUCUAAUAAGAGAUAAUUUCAUACAAAUUAUUAUCCAAGAAGCAAAUACCUGAGCCCUCCCUAUGAGGCAAUAAAUUGGGCGAUGCAAUCAGGUGGAGAAGAGGCCCACGAAAUACAACAAUAUUCUUCUGAAAUAAAUAAGCCAAAGCCCAUGGGCUUUUCUAUUACAACCACCAAAUUCUACAGCCUCUAGUUUUUAUAUCCAUACCCAUUCAACCAUAUGCUAUUUCUUUCUUUCCUUCCUUCUUCUUUAUUUAAAAUAUGAUAGUAAUACUUUAAAAAAUUUGUAAAUACACUAAAAUCUGUCAAACUAGAAAUCUUAUCGCCCAUAGAUAAUAUUGUAAAUAUUGGUCAAUUAAAGAUAGAAGUCUAUGACUAUAUAUUUUAGUGUAUUUACAAUUUUUUUAAAUUUUGUUAUAUACUUAAUUAUUAUUUCUAAAAUUGCAACUAAUUAUAAUUGCUCUACAAAAUAAUUAACGUGUUCCUUUUUGCGAUGAUUGUUAGAGCAAAUUCAAAAUCGAGUAACUUGCCAACCUAAUAUAUACUCAAUAAUUGAAAGAAAUAUCAAUUAUCUAGAGGCCGAGUUUAAUUGAAAGAAAUUGAAACUGUUUUCAUGGGAGUUUAAUUUGAGAAUAAGAAGUUUUUUUUUUUUUUCCACAUUUUGCAUUACUAAUGAAAUUUGCUUACUAUUUUAUUCCAUUAAACACAGAAAUACACAUUGUACCUUUUUAGUACCACAACAAAUAUGGAAUAUAAAAAUAAUAUGGAAACCUAGAGUUUGAUAAAUUUUAGUUUGGCUUCAUCCCAAAAGGUUGCAUUUGAUCUAGAUAGUGAUGAUAGUUAUUCUUAUUUACCAUGUUUACCCAACCAUAAAGAAAAGUAGUUUGAUCUUAAUAAAAUUUCAUUAAUGAAUCUAUGUUCGUUGUUUGAUUUUAGAAUUAUCAAGUUAAGUUGUUACGAUAUUGUUACCAUGGAUAUAAUCUAUCAUAUUUUUGGUUAAGCAUUGCUAGAACCUAUUGGUUAGUUUAUAAUUCUAAUAAUGUUAACAAGUAAGUGGGUUCCACAUAAAAUUCAAACAGCGAUCCUUUAAUCAAACCACUACAAGAAAAGGGGCUCUCCGUACAAAAUCGUCGGGAGAUAUAUGAAAAACGUUGAAAAAGCCUUUUCCGACGCAUAAAUAUACGCCCAAGUUGGAAAAAAUGUGUUGGGAGUUUCUAGACAUCUCCCGACGUUGUAUGAACGUCGAAGACGAUGUAAAUAUAGUGUCAGAAGAUGUCUCGAAACUCCCAACACACAAUGAUGUGCGUCGGGAGUUCCUCUAUUUUCUUUAAAAAAAAUCCUUCAAUUUUAAAUGGAAGGUAUAUACAUUUAUUUCUUGUAUUCACCCCCUCCCAUUAAUUUUUUAUUCACCCAUCUUUAAUUAUUAAUUCAACACCCCCUCCUUAAAAAUUCUAAUCCAAUCCUAAACCCCUUUAAUUUUUAAUCAACCAUUCUAAUCAUCCCCUCAUAAAACAUAAUAUUAUUCCUAAAACAUAAUUCAAAAUCCUAUUCCUCACACAAAAACUAAUUCAAAAACCAAAUUUCUAAUUCAAAACAUAAUUUCUAAUCUAAAUAAAAAUAAAUUACAUCAAACUAAUAUAAAAAAACCCUACAGUAGAGGUGAGAUCUCCUCUUCUUCUUCUCGGUCUCCCUCUCUCUCAUUUUUUCUUUCUCUUUUCUCUUUCAAUUAUGUAAAACUAAAGGAUUUAAUAGAAGGAUAACUCCCGACGUUGGAUGAAUACGUCGGGAUAUACACCAUUAGGUACUCUUUUUUCCGACAUUUCCAAACAAGUUUUUGUGCAUCGGAAAAAUUCCAAUUUCUUGCAGUGAACUAUAAGUUCUUUAAUUUGAUAAUACAAAAUUGAAAAUGAUUACAAAACACAAACGUAAUCAUCCAUCCGUUUAAAGUAGUAAUUUUAUUGUUAAUCAGCUCAAUUAGGGCAUGUAAAUUGCCCCAUCGAAUAUAAAAGAUAAAAAAGUUGGUCUCAUCUAAGAUCAAGCAAAAAGCUUGAAAGUAUAAAAGAUAAAAAAAGGAAAUAAUAGAAGGUGAAGGGCAGUUAUUGAAAUUUAUUUUGAGUAUAUAAUACAUGUAGACUUCAAACUACAACAAGUGGCGAACUCGCGGCGGGGGGAACGGAAAGAUUUGAAACUCCGAUCUCGAGAAGAAAUAAGAAGCAUAGACUUCACUUAGUUGUGGUAAUACAAAUAGUUUACAAUAUGACAAAACAAAGAACUAAGACGAAGGAUUCAAAUAAUAGCGUAUUCGCAUCUUACAGCGUAAUCAAGAAGGCGAUCAAGUUCAUCGAGAGUAACGUAACCAUCGCCGUCGGCAUCCGCGGCUUUGAGUGACUGGCGAGCUCUGAAACGGCUCCAAUUAGACCCUAAGGAUUCAAAGGCCGAUUUCAACUCCAGACGUGAAAGACGGCCAUCGCCGUCGCCGUCGUGCUUGAGGAAAAUAUCACGAAGCUGAUCUCUGGAGAAAGGAACAGGACAUCGCUUGUAGUCGCUAACGCCGUUGCUGAAGACGAAACUCAAAGCCAUGGAAUUUUCUUUUUAUUAUUAUUAUUAUUAUUAUUAUUAUUAUAAGUUUACGGGAUG
rnacentral:lncRNA from 1 species